rnacentral:lncRNA from 1 species
CCCGAACCCGAGCGGUGCUUUGGGAAGAAUCGUUCCUCAUGUCGCCGCCGUCGGAUUGAUCCGAUUUGUGCGCGAUUUGGUCAGUAAUCUCACUAAUCCUGGAUUAGUUGGCUAAUUAUGCUUAAGGUUGGUUUAGAUUUAAUUAAUUAUGUUUAGAUUGUUAGAUUAGAAUAAAUUAGCGAUUAUUAGUCAAUUGUGAUGCGAUUUAGAUAAAUUGAUUGUGUAAUUAGCAAGUAGACGUGGUCUACUAAUUAUUGGAAGUGCCUCGGGAUUUUUCCCGACCCUUAGUGGGCUCCAAUUAGGCUUUUCGGGCCUAAGUGGAUUUUUUUGUAUUUAAAUAUUAAUUUACGGAAUUAAAUUAAAUAAUUAUUUAUUUUCUGAAAAUUCAACUGAGAUGGCCCGAGACCGGAAUAUUGUGCUGAUGACUGUGGUGAAGUCUGUUUAUUUAAUCGGGCUUUAAUUUGAGCUAAAUGGGAUUUUUAAUAUUAAUUAUUUAAUAUUCGAAAUUAAUUAAAUAAUUAUUUAUUUUUCGAAAAUUCAACUGAGAUGGCCUGGAACCGGAAAAUUAUGCUGAUGACCGUGGUGAAGUCCGUUUAUUUAAUCGGGCUUUAUUUUGUACUAAAUUGAAUUUUUAAUAUUUAUUAAUUAAUUACCCUAAAUUGAUUGGAAUUGAUUGUGAUGAAUUGUGAUCGGUAAAUGGCCAAGUAUGUUAUUCAGCAUUUAUAAUGUUUUGUUGACUUGAUUUAAUUAUUUGAUUGAGAAAUCGUUGGGCAUUGGUUGUCGAUAUUGAAAGUAAAUUGGUAACCACUGCAAAGAGGACACGUGGGCUUGGUGAAUUGGAAUGUCACCUGGAGAAUGCACGUGAGUUCAGUGGUUGAAUAUGUCACCUUGGCGAAAAGGUCGCCUGAGAGAAUGCACGUGGCUCGGAGACUCGGUAUGUCGUCCUGGAGAAUGCACGUGGCUCGGUGACAGGAUUUGGCAUCUAAAAGGACACAUGGCUCGGUGAUCUGAUGCGUCACUUUGGUAAGCGAGUACCUUAGAGAAUGCACGUGGGUCCAGCAUUUCGGAAUGGCAUCUAAAAGGGCACGUGGCUCGAUGAAUUGAUGCAUUACCUUGGUGAGAUAGCACCUUAGAGAAUGCACGUGGGCCCGGGCAUCGUAAAAAGGACACGUGGCUCGGUGGCUUGAUGUACCACCUUGGCGAAGAGGUCGCCUUAGAGAAUGCACGUGGGUCCGAGGUUUGAGGCACGUGGACUCGGAGACUUGGAAGGUCAUCCUGGAGAAUGCACGUGGCCUAGCUUUUAAAUAUCCCACAGUGGGGAUUGAUUUGUUUGACAUGUAAUCGACUAGGUCGAUGCUUUGAUUUGAUAUUGUGAAUUGACCGACUGAAUGGAAAUGACCGUGAGUGGUCUUGUUGGAAUAUAAUCGACUAGGUCGAUUUGAUCAAUGCUUCGAUCAGUGAUAUGAUUGCUUGGGUGCCUAUUAUGAAUUGUAUUGAUUGGUGGGAUCAGAGGCCAAGGUAAGUCCUCUGCCCUGUGCGUGUUUAGGCAGCCCGUAGUAUAAUAGUUUAUCUAAUCGGGCUUAGUGGGGUAGAACUCGCUGAGACGUAGUCUCAUCCCAGUUUGGGGAACCCAUUUCAGGACCCCAGUGAGAAGCUGAAGAGGAGGAGUCUAAGAAGGAGAACUCGGAGGUGAAACUUAAGGAGAAAGAUUUUUGGGAGAAGAUGAUAAUCCUGAGAAGGGCCUUGAGUACGGCCCGGAUGGCUAAGAAUUUAUCUUCUUUUGAGAUCUCCUUUUUGAUGUGAAUAGUUAUGAAGUGAUUUAUGGUUUGUAUAAAAGUUUGGUUAUAAAUUUCAAUAUGAAAAAUAUGGCCCUGCUUUUCUAUCCCAUCGUUUUAUUAUCUGGGGAUUUUAACUGCUUCCGCAUGUGCUUAAUAAAUGAAAGGGUCGGCGAUACAUAGUCCUGGGGUAUCGCAUUAUAAAAUCGACAAAGGUAGAAGGAUGUGUGCGUGCCCGAGGAUCAGGGCGUGACACUAAUUGUUAGUUAUGUUUUGAAAAUCUACUAAGGCACCAGUCUUGUCUAGAAGUUUAUAGGAAUCUAUCGCGCCUGUAAAUAAAAAUCCCUUCAUUCAAGUAAUAUCAACUCAGGAUUCUUUACUUGCAACUAUGUCAUAUCCAAAAUUUCACUCCCAUUACCAUCAUUCACUCUUCAUUUUUGUGUAAAACACCAACUCCUUAGUUCAACGUCACGUUCUCAUUUAGACUUUCUAGCACCUUACCCCUAUAUUCACCAACUCUCCAUCAAACGCAAUUUGAACGGGGUAGGCAGUUGAAGUGGUUUAUUUGAGGAAAAGGAUCGUAGCACAUUUAAGGAAAAGCAAAGGGGGAAUAAGGCCAUUGACUCAAAGGGUGCACACCAAGCCACUGUUGAAGAAAGUAACACACUGAAUUUAAAAAAAGAAAAAAAAAGAAAAAAAAAUGGAGAACUUUCUUGAGUCGAAGCAAUUCCCAGGAGGGAUCGUCCACAGCCUCUGCCAAUUGAAGCGAUGAAGCACCACCUUCGAGUCCUCCAUGACCAUCUCCAGCAAAUCCUUCUCCGGAUUCCACUCCCGCCAUCUUCACUUGCCAAUCGGAAGAAAUCGAGCCCAAACCUCACAAAACCGAAUGGGAAAACAAUCAAAUCGACCCGCCCAUUAUUAGGUCGCGAAAGAAGGCGGACAGGAGCCGAACCUGAGAAGCUAGAGGUUUGUCGAACUGAAGCUAAAAGGGAAGCACGUGCCACGACCCUUCAUCGGUCUCCAUAGCCGAAAAAGAUCUGGGAGCAGCCAAAGCGUCCGGUGGCAAAUGUGAACUAAGAGGGAGAGCCAAUGGCGGAGGGCAGAGCCCGAAAACCCUAGAAGAAAGCCUGUUGGAAGAGAAGAUCGAGAGAGUAACGAAGUGCACUGGAGCCUGAGAAUUUUGCAGAGAAGAUUGCGGGAGAGGAAGAACAGGCGGGAGAGAGACGAGGAAGAGGAGAGAGAGAGAGGAUACGGGCCGAGCCGGGCCGGAUUGGGCCAUAAGUCGGGCUAAACUUCUUCUCCAGGCUCGUUCAUCAUACGAAAAAUAACGUAAGAGAUGACCCAAUGGGCCGCUACAGCCUCGAACGGUCCAGACCACUUUCGAUAACUUCGAGUAGAGAUUAAACCGAACGGUCCAUCCAUGUAGGACGGCAAAACGAUGUCGUUUUCUUAAGGAGGACCAAAAACAACGUUGUUUGAAGGCCUUGUCGAUUUUUUUUUAAAGAAAGCCACGUAAUUAUUUUAGUCGGAAUCUUUUGCCGAUGGCACCAAAGUGAUCAUUUUUCCUCCAAUUUGGCACUUAAGUGUUCCAACGGAAACUUUUUUGCACCAAAGUGACUGCCGUACACAACUUAUGGCACCAUUAGUGUACUUAUCCCAAGACUGCUCUAUAGAAGCAAGAAAGGAAAGAAGUAGUCAUUGACUGAAUCUGACAUACUAUACAACAAAAUAUUUGAUCUGAACAUACGGUAGGCUUACAACAUUUCCAAUUGGAAAGACACCAAAUAUACUGAAGACAAAACCCCAUCUUUAUCUCCACUACAAAGGAUAUUGAAACAUUGCUUUGAAGAAUUUGAGAGCUCUAUGAAUGAAUCUUGACCAUCAUCAGUUAAACCAGUUUCUCUAGGUACUAGUUCAGGCAUGCGAGGAACUCUUGGAGCUGGAGGGAAGAAACGAGCAGUGCGAUCUUCAAAUGCCAGAGAGUUGCCAGAAGUGUCCUAUUAAAAAAUUGAUAAUUAUCUUUCCAAUCGGGACAAAAAAAAAAGGAAGAAGAAGAUAAAUAUAACAAGAGAUUAAAGUAAAGUUGUCAACAAUCAGCAAAUCAAUAGCUCACAGCUGCAACAAACAUAAGUUUUCAAAAAACCUUCCAUAAACCCAUAUUGAAGCUGUUGAAUAAUUCUAAGUUUGAAAAAGAAAUAUCUUAGUAAACCAGACUAAAAUAACCAAACUGCAAACAAAGCAUUAGAUAGAACAUGAAAGGUAUGAACAGUAAAAUAUUGUCUGUUAAGAAUCAAGUUUGAGAAGUUAGAUGAACUUUUUUAAGUUGAAAGAUGCAUAUUCUAUUCACAUGGGCAUCCUCCUCCCAACUGAGACACACCACAGCUACCGCAUGGGACUUCAAGCUUCUUAACAGUUUCCAUUCUGCUUAAUAAUUAUACCGAGUUAGAAAUAAAUAUACCACGGUAUGUAUAACAGCCGCAAGCACUAGCAUAUAAAAAUCAGCAUAAUGCAUAUCCGUGGUUCCAUGAAGACAUCAGGAUUGGUAAGAUAACAUUCAUAUGUAAAAACAAGCUCUUCAGAGCAAAACGUAAACAGCUAGCUCAAUGACAUAACCGGUCAUCUAUGAACUUUUGCACCCAAGCAUAAUUGAGGCACAUAAAAAUUCUAUCAAUUAGGAGUCACCCGAAAUAUUACCUUCCUAAUAUGACUGGACUGGACAUAUGUCACUUUAAAUAAUAGAAAGAAACUAUUAAUCUGAUGAAAAUAAGCGUGUCAUGGAUGACUACUUCUAUAUGGCACCAUUCACCUAUGAUGACUACUUCUAUAUGACACCAUCCACCUAGACCGUAGAUCCUCUCAAUGAGCUCAACACCAAUAAAUCCUACUGUAAUUCGUCAUUGACAUUUGAGAUAUUUUAGAUCAUCAAUGACAACAUCUGCAACAAGAUGACAAUUUUUUGUUCCCCAUGAGAAUGCAAUUGAGCACAUCAACCAGAUUCAAGUCCUAAAGUGUAUAAAUCUAUUUAUAACACAUGUGAAUCAAACAAUUCACCACUAAUUUCAACAAUUAGAUAUAAGUCAAUCUUUGAUUCAUAAAUUACCACAAUGUUGUGUCAAAAACAUUUAAUGGCUUUGAUGUAGGACGACAAGUCCCAGAAUUAAGAUAAAUCUUUAGGCAUCACAUCAAAAACUUCCUAAGCAUCACACCUAAGAGAAAACUUGCACCACACAAUCCCAAAGCAAACACUUGUAAACUUCAAUAAUUUAUCAAGUCUAUUAAAAAGUAAAAUCACAACUAUAUCUACAAACUUCCUAAAUGUUCUACUCCUAGUAGAAAUACGAAACCUCUAGACAAGAAACAUAAUUGGAAUAGAUGUAAUAUUGUACUACACAAAUUCAAAGAAAAAGGAAACUCAGUAAUAUCCAAAUAAUACUCAAACCCUAGUUGAUAAUUUUAAUAAUCAAACUUUUAAGAAAAAUCUGAUCCCUAUAGAACUCUUCUUUGAGUUGCAAAACCAUUUUCAGCAAAAACUUGGUAGAAACGUCAAUAUUUGGACAAAUAACAUCUUGCAUGAUUUUGUUGGCUGCAUCAGGUUUAGUGGAUGUUGUGAUCAUGUUACACUAAAAUCUAUAAAUUAGAAUCCUAUUACAAUACUAUGUAUGCAAUCUUUGUGUCCUUGCAGUUAAAUGGGGUACUUAUUUGAUGAAAGAAAAAUAAUUUGCAACAAUAUAUUAUUGUCUAGAAAUCAUAACAUCAGUUGAAUUUAAUUUAUCUUUAUCAAUAUGGGUGACCCUGACAGGUGAUCAAGUUAUAUCAAAGUUGUCUACCUACUAAACAAUUAACACAAUUAACAAAUGAACGUUGUUUGCAUUCAAAGUUCAAACCACGUAACACGAAUUGACUCAUGUAAUCUGUCUAACUAAAAAAUCGUCCCAAUUUGAUUAGCGACCUGACCUAUCUUGACCUAUUUAUGUUUAGUUCAGUAGGUCUUAUGAUAAUAAAUCAUACAUGAAUUCUGUUUUUAUUGAGGUUACAAAAUAUGUAAAUUGUGUGUGUGUGUGUGUGUGUGUGUGUGUGUGUGUGUGUGUGUGUGUAAACAAGAUAGAAGAUAUCAUCUAAACCUAGGACUUUGUAAGCUUACAGCUAUUUUUGUAAAAAUUAUAUGACAAUGACAACGAUAUGCAUAUUGUACAUAUUGUACACAUGUCGUGUCAGUCAUGUUUGGAUUGAAAUGGACCAUUAAGAUACAAGAUAUCAUCUAAACCUAGGACUUUGUAAGCUUACAGCUGCUCAUUUUAAAAAUUAUAUCAUUGACGAAGUUAUGCAUAUUGCAAGUAUUGUACAAGUUAUUCAUGCUUUCUCGGUCAUGUUUGGAUCGGAAUGAACCAUUCACUUUAAUUAGUUAAAUGGGUACAUAUAAGAUACAAGAUAUCAUCUUAACCUAGGACUUUGUAAGCUUACAGCUAUUCUUUUUAAAACACUAUAUGACAUUAUAUGCAUAUUGAUGUAUUGUACAAGUUAUUCAUGCUGUGUCGGUCAUGUUUGGAUUGGAAUGAACCAUUCACUUUAAUUAGUUAAAUGGGUAUAUAUAAGAUACAAGAUAUCAUCUAAACCUAGGACUUUGUGAGGUUACAGCUAUUCUUUUAAAAAUUACAUGACAGUAUAUGGAUGUUGCAUGUAUUUAAGCAAGUUAUUCAUGCUGUGUCGGUCACGUUUGGAUUGGAACGAAAAAUUCACUUUAAUUAGUUAAAAGGGUCAUUCAUCUCAAGUCGUGGUUGAUCUAUUUAACAAAGGGGGCAUGUUCAAAAAGAGUGUUCUAACAAGAUUUGUUAAGUUUCUAUGUUCAUAAUGACCUAUCUAGCAGUCCACUGUUAAUUUGACAUUGGGAGACAGGACCCAUAAACACGGAUUGCCAUCUCUAUUAGCAGCUAAAUGUUUGCUGAGCAAGCUUCCAUUUGCAAUGCAUCAUGCGGCUUUUGAGCAAUUCAGAAUCUUUCCGAAGAAAGAUUAGAGAACACAUUCUGAUGAUAAGGGAUUGUUGCAGGAAGAUUUCUAAUUGAGAAGUUGGGAGGGUAAUGUUAAAGUAAUAACAUAGCAAACUUACUUCAAAGUGAAACUGUACCAUCUUCUAGUCCAAAGGCAACAACUUUGCCAUCAGGAAGCCAGCAUAAUGAUGUUAUACAUUUACCUGGAGUACAUUUGAAUAGUUAAGAUAAUCCAGUAUAACGACAUACAAUGGAAUGUGCAACGAAAAGUGAUUUCAUAAACAACAACAACAAGGCCGAUGACUCAAAGGGCACGCACACCAAGCCAUCGUCGAAGAAACGAACAUACUAAAUAAACAAAAAAUGAACUUUCUCGAGCCGAAGCAAUACCAAGGAGAGAUUGUCCACAGCCUCCGCCAAUUAAAGCGAUGAAGCACCACCUUCAAGUCCUCCGUGACCAUCGCCAGCAAAUCCUUCUCCGGAUUCCACUCCCGCCAUCUUCACCUGCCAAUCGCAAGAAAUCGAGCAAAAACCUCACAAAACCGAAUCGGAAACAAAUCGAAUCGGGAGCCGAACCUGAGAAGCCAGCGGCUUGUCGAACUGAAGCUCAAAGGGAAGCACGUGCCGCGACCCUUCGUCGGUCUCCAUAGCUGAAAAAGCUCCGGAAGCAGCCCGAAAACGCAGCCACCAGCUGCUGGAGCAAGCAGCAAGGGGGUGUACAGAGAGCUAGUGGAGGGUAGAGCUCGAAAACCCUAGAAGAAAGCUUGAAGACCAACACAUUCUGCCUCAAGCCCUUCCCCACGUCCCUCGUUCGACAGCCGAUUACGCCUCCCCGAGGCCGCGCACGAUCACGAGCUCCUCUGUUCCCGACCGGCUCGACGAAUCGCACCGCGAAUCGGAGCUGCCUUCGACGGAGAGCACGGACCGGAGGCCGGAAACUCGGACCGACGGGGAGCGGAGGAGCUGGAGGUCAACCUGACGAUCGUGCGGACGGCGGCCGGAGCGAGGGUCGGCGGAGACAACGAGGAAGAGAAGAGAAUUUGAUUACGGGCCGAGCCGGGCCGGAUUGGGCCAUAAGUCGGGCUUAUCAAGUGGCCCAUCGGGCCCGGGUUCCGGCCCGUCAGACUACUGAUCAUGUCAAGGCGCGGCCCAUUUAUAGAGUUUUUUACGUGGAAGCCACGGAACCAGUGAACUUCAGAACAAUAGAGAAAGAGAGUUGGGCUUUUUGAGAGAGACCGAGGGUAAAAUGAAGAGCACGACUCCGUUUUUUUUUUCGCAAAAUAUUAAUAAUUUAAAAAAUAUUUUCCUAAACUUAAUCAUCUAUAUUUUUUAAAAAUGAGUUGAUAAAAAAAUAUUUUUCAGUAUUAACAAUAAUUUGUGUCAAAAAUUUUGUUUGAUAAUGAAAAUAUUUUCUGUUUUCUCUUUUUUCUGGGAAAUGUAAAUGAUCAAAAUUAGGAAAAAGAUCUUUUCCAAAUAUGGAUUUUUCAAGACACGAAUGAAGCCUUAGAGAAUGUGUCUUUCUAUGAGCUAGUUUGCUCCGAGUGUUUUGAUAGUGGUGCAAGAAAUUCAACUAUAAUAGUGAGGUGUAGUCUUGCUACUCAUAAUGUACACUAGUUGUGUGAAACAAUCAUUUUUUUGUGUCUUGUUUGUACCGGUAUAUGUGUGUUUCAAGUUACCUAUUACAAUUUUCUCAUAUUACUAGCACCUCGCUCUCGCAUCCAUUAACUAGUAUUAGAGACUUUGCUUAAGUCUUUGUCCAUCCACUGGGUCAAGGUGAGUGAUGAUGUGAUCAAGAAGAUUUUGAUGGGUAAUCUUGUUCUUAAGCACUUACAUUUAAUCGAGAAACUUGAAAGAGCUUGAGAUUGACAGAUGUUGGCUAGUUGAAGCUAACGAUUCCCUAUUAAAGAUUCUCGCUCCUCAUUUGAGAAUUAAAACAAACCAGAAAAUGUGUUUGGUAAAACUCCAAAAGCACUUGAUGAAUAAAAGGAAAAUUCUCAAAAUCAAAAUCACAAACUUAAGAUGACUUUUAGUAUUUUCAUUCCACAUGCAAACAUGGAGAUUUGGAAUAACUAAGCCUGCUUUUUGAAUGUGAUGUAAACCGAGCAUAUUCUCACAAUUUUCAUCCCUAAUGACAUAUAUCAUUUUCACUGAACAAAUAUUUUGUCAAAAAAACAUCGAGAACAGUUUCUAUGAAAAUGGAAACUAAAGGCGUUUUCUAAAACUAAGCAGGCCUUAAACAGUCGAGAGCAAAAGUGAUGUGUGAAUCAUGCGACGAUGUUUAAAAUUUUGCAACAAAUUUGCCUCGCAACUUUCAACAUCUAAACUUAACAGAUUUUUAGAGGCUUUUUACUGAAAGAUAGUAUGAAAAUUACAGGUUGGCUUCGAAGUAUGAGGCAUCAUGUUGUUCGGCUUAUGGCGACUCUCGAAAGUCAACUCAAGCAUUAAAAAUUAUCAGCAGGAAAGUUCUUCCAUAAUGUAAAUUUCAAAGUUAUUUCUUAGAAAACUGCCAUGAAAUUGCUCUACAUUAACUAUCCAUUUCUUUUUGAAGGAUGAUGAUAAUAUCCUAAGUUAAUAAGCGUUUUACUUUCCUUAUGACCAAACAAAGUUAGAUGCCACCGAAACAAAUAUCAGUGCACAUGAACAACCUUAAUCUAAUCGUAACCUCAAGCAUAAUCAUCACCACAUAAACUAGAACACUAUCUAGAUCUCUGCGCUUAUCACCUUCAUUCACUCUUGGUUUUUCUUGUAAAAGACCAACUCCUCAGUUCGACAUCAUCUUCUCAUAUAAGACUUCUAAGCACUUCACACACUGAACAGAACAAAGAAAGAGCUUUCUCGAUUCGAAGCAAUUACCAGGAGAGACGGCCGAUCGACCACCUUCGAAGUCAUCCGUGACCAUGGCCAGCAAACCCUCUCCAGAUUCCACUCCGCCAUCUCCGUCUGAUGGUUGGAGGAAGGGGGCGGGGGCGGGUCUUUUUCUUUUUCUUUUAUAUUUUUUUGAAAAAAUUGAAAAUUGAAAUGUCCUUUUCUUUUUCCCUCUCUUGCUUCUUUUAAGGACGUGUUUAACGUUGGAAUAUGAAUCUUUUGAAUUUUUAUUUCUUGACAAAAAAUCUUGUGAAUUAAUAGGUUAAUUUUCACGAUUACAGCCCGAUGAAACAGAGGAAACCCUCGUUCGACUCUAUUCCCCUAUCAAAUUUGUUUCAUUUUGCUGUUUCAUUUUUUUAUUUAUUUUGUACUUCCCAUUUUCUCGUGUCAAAGGGUCGUAAGUUCUUUAGAAUGCGCAUGAUCAUCUACCGACCAAUCCUGAAAAGCACCAAACUUUGUUAUAAUCUUUGUUGUUCCGGUGGAAAAAAGUUUACAAUGCUUGAUACUGCAAAGAUUGGUCAAAUCAAUAGUCAGUCAUCUUCGGAGAGUACCCGAUGGUUUGUUCUUUGAAAUUCCUUACAAGAACGGUAGGAAUCAAGGAGUUUCCUUUCAUGUUUGUCUCUAUUUUUGCUAAGCAAAUGAAUAUUGAUGAGACUGAAGCAUAUGCUACGAAUACGUCACCGUAUACCUCAUGUUCAUUCAUUUUUUGCAUUGCUUAUACCUGGUAUGAACUUUUGAUAAUUGUUCUACAAAUUAUCCAGAAAUAAAAUCGCAAAAAUUCUUAAAACGAACCAAAGGGCAAAAAAAAAAAAAGUUCCACGCAGAACAGCACAGCAACACAAAAAAAGAAAAGAAAAAGAAGAUGAAAAAAUGAAGGAGAAAAGCGUCUCAUUGAAAAAAAAUCGUCAAUUUUAGGCAUUUCUUUUACGAAAUGUUGUUGCUUUUUUACAAACUUUUAUCUUUUUGUUGCGAACAAGAAUUUUGAUCAAGUGAGUUAUGCUGUAAUAGACAAAAACAAUGUGCUCCUACACGCUAACGUGCGUCAUCACUAAUUAAGGUAAAAAAAGAGGAAAAUCUAUAAGUUAAGCACCAAUCGGGUGGUCUGCCCAUUCGUGUUUUGAUCUUCGGACUACAUGUAGCCCGCAUGUACGCUUGUGCGUUGAGAUCAUAUGAGGUUCCUGAUGGACCAACUCAUUGUAUUUUUAUCUACUGGUAAGUGUGAUACAUGUCUAUAGCUCUAGAUUUUCGAUUGAACAAAUAAAGCCUAGAUUGAUUCCAGAAUAGUGAUCUAUAUUGAAUUGCCAACUAAAAUCAUUCACAUAAAAAGCAAAUGAUUUGAAAGAAUUUUUUUCAAAAAAUAAUUGCUUAUAUGGUUACAAAAGUGAACAAACGUGAGAAAUUCUUGUUGAGCAUGAAAAUGUUUGGAUGAUUGAGACAUAUUUCAUUGGUCGAUUAUUUCAAAUAAUACAAAAUCAUUUUUAAAAAGGUAUUUUCAAAGCAUUUAUCUUUUCGUGGAACAAAAUGAGCCUCAGUCCACGUAAUCUACAAAUAAUGUCAUAUAUGGUAUGAUGUGUUCAGGUUUGUCUAAGAAACAAUAUUAUUUAAUUCGGGCCCACAUGUUCAAUGGUAAUCUCAUCGCACACCCCAACAAAACAAAGUGCCCAAACGGGAGGACUCAUGGGACAUCGCAUCAAUGUGAAUGUGGUGGUGGAUUCAGCUAAUGAAAUUGUAAUUUGGAAAAAAGCAAUGUGAUUAUUCUCAUUUACUUUUGAAUUUUAAAGAAUAUGCUAAUGAAUUAUUCAAAUCAGCAUCUCAUAGAAGCGAACAUUCACGCAUGCUUAACAUGUCGAAACGACAAGCCAAGCCUGAAAAUAUGGCCAAGCCAUUUGCCAUCACCACCCAACUUCCAAACACUCGGUCAUUUGCCAUCAUUCGCCCAAAAUCCAACCUCUUUCCCUGUACCUUUUUCUUUUUUUUUUUUUUUUUUUCCAAUUUGUGAUGAUUGCAUAUCAAACUUUAAUGUACAUGAUCAUUCUCUAGUCAAGUGGUGAACGUCAUUCAUGUCUAUUUUUAUCCUCAUGACACUUUUGGAUGGAUCACUAAUAAGUCUUGUUACCAAUAAAUGUGCAGGCCAUGUUUAAUCUGGCCAUUCCUCAUAUCUGCAAUGCAAAGGACUUCUGCCCACUGCAAAACUUCACAUGCUUGGCUAGGCAUCUGAAGAGCAUGGAGAUCAUUGGUUCAUAGCUCGUUCCUUCGACGGCGACGGAUGUAAGCUCACCAUGCCAGUGCUACUUUUACCAAGAGAUGCACUCCUGCUAGAGAAGAUGGUCAUUAACGUCAAGACCAAUGGAAGACACCAAUCGAAAUCUCUCAAGUCUUUGCCACGGCUGCUUCUACCCUAGAUGCAAUCUUACCAGUAAAGUCUCGCUGCAAACUACCCAAUAGGGAGGAAGUGGGUGGACAAGAAUCGUUUGGACAGUUUCCUAUGCUUGCACCAAAUUAUCUUUGGGUUAUUGGAGCUUUUAUGGAGAAAGAAACUUAGUAUUCUUGCCACUAGCAUCCUUUCAAAAAAAGAAAAAAAGAAAAAAGACAACCCAGAAGCUCAACAUUGAACUAAAGGAGCUACAUCAAUUUUCAUAACAAAUUAUUUCCUAUCAAUCAUGUUCAAUUUUCCAUCUAAAAUAUCUCAUUUUAAAGUGAAAAUUACCCAUUCUAGGUAUAGGACAUAGGAUUUUGAAAUCGACUUUACGUAGUCAACCGAGUCAAGACAUUGUGAUAAAAUCAUCAUUGACAAUUCAGAAACUCGUACAUAGAUCUGAAAAACCUCCCAAAUAGGAAACCAUAAUCCACACUAAUAGAUCUAAUGAUAGGCAGUGGGCCCAAGGGAGUCCAUUUGGGAGAGUCCCAACAAGGAAUUAUAACUAUUAAGGGCUUGCUCCAUGAAACUAAAGAGACAACUGAAAGGAACCUUAAUGAUACUGAUUAGAACAAUUCUCCAGCACGCGUUUCUAGACUAAUCAAAUGUCUGUUGAGAAGUUCAUCAUGUUUUCACUUUGAAACAAUACUAAACCCAAACAUGCAGGAAGGUUCAGAGUACCUAAAAUUCUAAAUCUUCUAAUAGCUACACACCCACAGAGAGAACUAUCUACACACAAACAUACACACUCACAGAACACUUUCCCCAACCGACGGUCGUAUAGGCUCUCUCAAUCUCCCUGAAAAAGAGCAGAAACUCAAAAGACUAAGACAAAAGCAGAAAGUCUGUACAGCAGGCUAACCCAGACAGGCACCAAAUUCUCCUUUAGGUGCUUCAACUGCAGUAUAGGUAGGAGCACUCGGGGCAAACAACAAAAGCUUUAGAUAAUUGUGCUGUAUCGAAGUAGGAGGUGUCAUCUUUGAAGUGACCAGUAGAAGUGAAAUCUAGAACUUUUACAAGAAUAACUUCACCUAGUAUAGUUGUUUAAUUGACUAGUCCAUUACUUUUGGGCAAUACUGAUUUCUGCCAUCAGAUCCAUUUAUUAGGAAAGACUGCUCUAUGGAAACAAGAAAGGAAAGAAGUAGUCAUUGACUGAAUCUGAUAGACUAUACUGCUAAAUAUAUGAUCUGAACAGACAGGAGGCUUACAACAUUUUUCCAAUUGGAAAGACACGAAAUAUACUAAAGCACAAAACCCCAUCUUCAUCUCCACUGCAAAGGAUAUCGAAACAUUGCUUUGAAGAAUUUGAGAGCACUACGAAUGAAUCUUGACCAUUGUCAGUUAAACCAGUUUCUCCAGGUACUAGUCCAGGCAUGCAAGGAGAUCUUGGAGCUGGAGGGAAGAAAAGAGUAGUACAAUCUUCAAAUGCCAAAGCGUUGCCAGAAGUGUCCUAUUAAAAAAUGGAUAAUUAUCUUUCCAAUUGGCCAAAAAAAAAAAGAAAGAAAAAGAAGAAGAAGAAGGUAAAUAUAACAAGAGAUAAAGGUUAAGGAGUCAACAAUCAACAAAUCAACAACUCACAGUUGACACCAAACAUAAGUUUUCAAAAAACAUUCCACAAACCCAUAUUGAAGCUGUUGAAUAAAAUCCUAAGUUUGAGAAAAGAAAUAUUUUAGUAGACCAGACUAAAAUAACUACUUAACUGCAAACAAAGCAUUAGACAGAACAUGAAAGGUAUGAACAAUAAAAUAUUGUCUGUUAAGAAUCAAGAUUGAGAAGUUAGAUAAACUUUUUUCAGUUGAAAGAUGCAUACUCUAUUCACUUGGGCAUCCUCCUCCCAAUUGAGACACACCCCAGCUGCCACAUGGGACUUAAGCUUCUUAACAGUUUUCCAUUCUGCUUAAUAUUUAUACCGAGUUAGAAAAAAAUAUACCACAGUACGUAUAACUGCUGCAAGCACUAGCAUAUAGUUGCACGAUGCAUAUCCACGGUUCCAUAAACACGGCUAGAUUGGUAAGUUAACAUUCAUAUGUAAAAAUAAGAUCUUCAAAGCAAAACAUAAUCCAUGAAGUGGAUAAUGAUUAAUAAAUUGGUAGACAUUGCAAAGAAGCUUUAUGGCAGCAGCAUCAGCCAAGUUCUGAGCAAUUGUACCCAUGACCAAACAGCUAGCUUAAUGAAUAACUGGUACUCUACGAACUUUUCCACCCACAAGCAUAAAUAAGGCACAUACAAAUUCUAUCAUUUAGGAGUCACCUGAACUAUUACCUUCCUAAUAUGACUGAACUGGACAUACGUCACUUUAAAUAAUAGAAAGAAACUAUUAAUUUGAUGAAAAUGAGCGUGCCAUGGAUGACUGCUUCUAUAUGUUGUCUCAGUCAUCUUUGGAUAGGAAUGAACGAUUCAAUCUAAUUAGUUAAAUGGGUAAGAUACAAGAUAUCAUGAUAUCAUCUAAACCGAGGACUCUGUAAGCUUACGGCUAUUCUUCUUAAAAAUUAUAUGACAUUGACGAAGAUAUGCCUAUUGCAUGUAUUGUACAAGUUAUAAAUGCUGCGCCGGUCAUGUUUGGAUUGGAAUGAACCAUUGACUAUAAUUAGUUAAAUGGGCUAUUCAUCUCUUGUCGUUUGUUGACCUAUUUAACAAAGGGGGCAUGUUUGAAAAGAGUGUUCUAAUAAGAUCUGUUAAGGCUUUUGUGCUCAGAUUGACUGAACUAGCAGUCCACUGUUCAUUUGACAUUGGCAGACAAGACCCAUAAACAUGGAUUGCCAUCUCUAUUAGCAGCUAAAUUUUUGUUGAGCAAGCUUGCUGUUUGCAAUGCAUCAUCUGGCUUUUGAGCAAUUCAAAAUCUUUCCCAAGAAAGAUUAGAGAAGAACACAUUCUGAAGAUAAGGGAUUCUUGCAGUGAAACUGUACCAUCUUCUAGUCCCAAUACAACUACUUUGCCAUCAGGAUGCCAGCAUAAUGAUGUUAUACAUUUCCCUAGAGUACAUUAGAAUAGUUAGAUAAUCCAAUAUAACGACAUACAAUGGAAUGUGCAAAGAAAAGAGAUUUCAUAGACAACAACAGCAGCAGUAACAAAAACACAGAGAGGGAAAGAGAGGGAGAGAGAGAGAGAGAGAGAGAGAGAGAGAGAGAGAGGAUGAAUAAUUUGUUCACCCUAAAAUUAAUAGACUAAGAGGAAAGACAGAGAACACACAUAAACCGAGAAAAUGAUAAUCAAAAUUUUGGAAGUAAGGCAAACAUCAUAACAGUACACAUUAUAUCUGACAGGAUAUUGGUAACUUGACAUGGGAUUUCUUUGGGCUAGUAGAUCAUCUAAAGCUAGGGAAUCUAUAUCUUUUUGGCAGCCUUCAAUCCAUUAUCUCAAUCCAGAAACGAAUCUUAUUGUUCAGCUUUGGAACCUCGAGGUGGAGUGUAACCAUGAAAGCAUACGUCAAGCAAGGAUCACAAGUGUACAAGUAUCUACAACUUAUCUCAACAGAAACCACUCAAGGAUUGGUUCAAGAAGCACUCAACAACAUGUUUUUCAUAUCAAGAAGGCAACAUGAUGCAUGCAGCAUUCAGAUGUUUCUCGAGAAAAUAUACCUCCUCUCUAAAUUUUUCCAGUGAGAAUAGAUUACAAACACUACCAAGGCUAGGCAUCUGAUCCCAAGCUCUUACGAAUUUGAAUUACCAAAAGAUAAAGUCGUACAAGAACUUAACAUACUUGGAUGCAGCUCUGCCUACCCUCCUAGUCUUUUUGCUUUCUCCAACUCCUCACUUCAUGUAUGCAGCAUAGCUUGACAUACAUCCUAUUCACAAGUAAGUUAAAUUCCCAACAACAAACUUGAUUAAUCAAAAUGAUGUGACGAAAUGCCCCUUUGUAAUCAGAAGAAGAUAAAUUAACUCAAGUAAUACAAAUUGUGCGAAACUUUCCAGACUAGACUCUACAUUUUAACAAUACAGAAUGUGAGAAAUCCUUGUAGGGGAAUGCUCAAUCUGUACAAGAAGAGGAAGAAGAGGAGCCAGAAGUAAUAUUACGCUCAAUCAGUACAAGAAGAGGAAGAGCGGAGCCACAGUAAUAGUACAUCGUGAGAGUCACUAACAGAAAUUGAAGGAAAAUAUAUAGAUGCCCGAUGGCAUUGAGAUCGUAUUUUGCAGGGGUUAAACCUGCCAACUCCAAGUGGGCAUCAAGCAUUUCUACAUUGGACAUAACUAGUCUAUCUAGCAUAAAUAACAUCCCCUCCAAUUCAAGUUCUUUAUCUUCAUGAACACUUUGACUGGUGUACAGGAAAGAGCAAAAAGAUGGCAAUACAGGAGUAGGGUACACUUCCAGUUGGUCUAGAUGAUUGUCAGUUAUGUUAUGGAAAUCUCCAAAAGGCACCAAUCUUGUCUAGAAGUUGAUAGAAAUCUAUCACGCCUGUAAAUUAAAAUCCCUUCAUUCAACUAGUAUCAGCUUGGGAUUCUUCAUUUGCAACUAUGUCAUCUCCAAAUUUUCCCUCCCAUGACCAUCAUUCACUCUUCAUUUCUGUGUAAAACACCAACUCCUUAGUUUGAUGUCAUGUUCUCAUUUAGAAUUCCAAGCACUUAACCUCUAUAUUCACCAACUCUCCAUCAAAUGCAAUUUGAACUGGAUUGGCAAUUGAAGUGAUUUAUUUGGGGAAAAGGACAGUAGCACAUUUAAUGAAAAGCAAAUGGGAGGUAAGGCCAACGUGCAUGCAGAGUCAGAACUUGCAAUUGGGCAAAGAAAAUGGCACACCUUGUACCUCUGCCGCAAGUGAUAAAACCUAAGCACAUUCAAAAAUUGGAAGGCAAAAGAAUAAGAUAAUUUACUCUUCGUUCCAAAUACAGUUUAAAAAACCCAGCGAGCGUAUGCUUUAAGAACACUUUUCGUUCCCACCUAUAUGACAAAUUGAGUGAUGCUAAAGCUUUUGAGUUUGAAAUAGUAGAACUUAUAUACUAAUUCUAGUCAACAACUGCUCUUUCAGUCUUUAAAAUACAGGACACAACAACUUUUCAUUAAUAAUUUACUAUGAUCUUUGGAAUGAUGGUUAUGCACUACUGAGCAGGAAAAAGAAUGACCCUAAAGCAGCUGCCUUUUCUUUGGUUUUUUAGUGGUUAUUCUAAAGGCACGAUGUGUAUUUGCACCAGUGGUCAUCAGCCAGAGUAGCAAACGAUGCAAACCAGAUUCCUUGUGCUGAAGUUUGGAAUGAAUUUCCUUAACUCGAGGAAGAGGGAACAAUGAAUUAUCCAUAGGUAUGAACCAAACGAGUUAAAUUUGAAAUAAAAAACAAUCUGCUCACCUGAAGGCACCAACUACCAAUCAAAAGCUUGAUCGCUUUCUGCAGCUUCUGAAGCAAUCCCUCAACCAGUUUGCAAUACCCUCUGUAAGACUCGAACCGAUUUCGAACAAAACAAUCAGAUGGCCUUCCAAAAUCCUCGCCUCUCAUAAAAAAGUUCGACUCUGCUUCAAUCAAGGAUCGAGACUUCCGUUACCAGCUGCCUCAUCAUACCAGAAAAUCCUCUCAAACAGCAACAGAGGACUUGAUGGUUCGCUUUAAACCGUAGCAUCCUUCCAAAUUAAGGUCCUCGAGAACAGGGCUGCCAUUCGACAUCUCAUGCAUCACCUCCGAGUCACAGAUGGACAGGUACCUAAGAUUAAUCCAAGCGAUACUUCUACUCAACCAGAAGCAACAGAGCCCUGAGUGCAGGUUCACCACCGAAGAGCAUCCAUAAAAGGAGCCGCCGUACUGCGAAAUGGUCGGCCAUCUCGCACAACCUCUUAGUGGCAUCGACUGAGAGGUCCUCGACUCGGCGGUCGACAGCAAAGCGAGGCCACGGACUGAGCUCAGGCGCGCAACGGUCGAGAAAAUCAACGUCGAUGUGGAACUUCCUCACCUUGGGCGACGCCUAGAGGAUCGAGACGCCGUCCACGGACGGGGAGGCGUUCCGCCAGGGGGGGGAGAAGACGAGGUCCGGGGGCGGCGGUCCAAGACGGAUCGCCACCGCUUCGACAAAAGCGCACGAGCGGACAAUGCGUGCGAGGUCGAGAGCCGAGAAGAUGCGGUGGAUCACGAGAGGAGGAGGUCGGCGAUCGCUUCGUCUUCGCCAUGUGGGGAUCGACGAUCGAACGGAUGAACCGGAAGGAGAGGCUUCCUCCGAUUUGAGGGUUCAUUUCACUCGGACUUAAGUUUCUGGCUUGCCAUACAGAGACACGUGUCGCUCGAUUGAGUGGCAACUACUUUCCCGCGCCUUUUAAUACAUCUACGAGCUGGUGAUGAUGGGCCUCGCACGUCUUGAAUUGCCGAGUAUCGAACCUUGAUUUUUUUAAUCCAAGCUUGUCCGACAUCUGAAAAAAUCAUCGUUCAUAUAAUAAUUGAGUGUGAACAAGAUCGAGUAGGCGUACAUAAGCGAGCUUGAGCCCGUGAAAGAAAAUGUGUGCUUGAUUCCGCUUGAUUUGUAAUAUCACUCUCGAGGUUUCACUUACGUAAUGAUAGAUAGAAAUAAUUAUUGAAACUUUGCAAACACCUAUAAAGAAAAAAGAUAAAAUAAAAAUUAACCAUAAAUAAAAUUUAUGAGAUAAUUAUUUAGCUUAAAUUAUAUUCAUGAUCAAAGUAUGAUAUCUCAUGGGCUCGAAAAAUAGCAGAUGAAUGUUUCAACGUCUUGAAUUACAUUGGCAUGAAUGUGAGGAAUGAUAACCCAAGUAAUUCAUGAAGUUCACCGGUCUAGGAUGGACAUGUUUCUUAUUUUCAAAUUGGCUGACAAGAAUGCAAACGGAGAAGACUUUUCUCACCUCACCACCAUGCCAAAUGCAAGACUAUUGGCAUCCACAAUGUGCGUCUCCAUUUAGAUGGCAACUCCAUGAUUCUAGUAAUUAAGGUUGUUGAGCUUAUGGCUCAAGUUCUACCAACUCGGAUUUGGAACGAAGACUGGAGAUUAAACUAAGUCACAAACGUGUUAAGAGGCAUUGUGGACGUGUGGCAAAGUUAUGUGGAGAGGACCGGAUGCUUGAGCCCUGCCGUGCUACCGACCAAAUGAUAGCACCGGGUAUUGUUUGAGCUCUUGGGCAAUCCCUUUGGACGCCUAAUAACUAGUAUAGUCAAUAUCCGAUAUUUCGUUUCCUAUGUGAGACAAAAAUUGCUAAUUAAAUAUGUUCUCCAUUGCAAAAGUUGGAAAUUCAGUUUUUAUGAAGAUGAUGACUUUUCUUAAUUUGUGUGGAAUAGGUUGAUUCAUCCUCCAUAUAGAAAAAAAAAAAAUAGGCCUGUCAAUCAUAACCUUUUGAAAGUGAAACCAAAUCCAACCAAACUGAAAAGCGGUAUCAGCUUGGCUUCGGAAGAUACCAGGAAAAGAGUUCAUAACAUAAAUGAAGAUUCUAUUGUGUAAACAUCCGAAGAUUGUUCUAUGUACAUAAAAUGCGAAUAACAUUGGUAAAUAACAAAAAUAUCUAAUAACAAAAUGCUGACCUAUAACUCAUUUAGUCAUUAAUAUUUUGGUAAGUUACCAAAACUUUUAAGAAAAUACCAAUGCUUAUUGUAAUAUUCUUUAUUAUAUAUUAUGGUCGACCUUUGAAUCUUCCCGAUGGUUAAAAUUAGAAAAAUUUGGGACUCAAGAUCUCGGAUUGUGGCGAGGUUCAUUUCUUGACUAAAAAAAUUUGAUUAGUAUUACUUUGUUGGUCAAACCAAAGUAUCGACCUUUGACCGGAAAAAGAAACUAUUGUUUCACUAGUCUUAAUCUUUUUUAGACAUUCGAUUUAGGCGCGACAACCCAAAAUCCGUUGGGAAAAUAAAACGUAAUCUUUUUCCAUCUUCUACGUUCAAGGUGGGAGGCGUCACAAGAUAGAUGGUCAAUGAGCCUCUCCAUCAUUCCCCUCCACGCCAUUAGUCGCCAUAGCUGCUUGCCCUCGCCGUUGCCGAGCCGCCCUUUCCUGCUCCACUAUUGCUCCCUACCUUCCUCACCGUGAAGACCGAAGAGCCCAGGUCUCGUCCGGAGACUCUCUUGCUGACCAUUGUUCUGUUUGUAGAUAAGUCAUAAAGGUUCCAGUCGCCGGCGUCGCAGCCUAGCUACGCCACUGACAAACUAGGCCUUCUUGCUGCGUUCAACAACGGUCAUCGACGAGGAGCCUCUGAAAAACCGACGGUCCAAGGGUUCAUUUUUAGGCUCGAGUAUUCUGGUUGGUUUAUCCAAUUGUAUCCUUAUUUUUGUUCCCUACGUUUUGUAGAUGUAAUGGCCGGCACAAUGGUGAGCUGAUGGUCGGAGGUGGUGGUCCGGUGAAGAGCGAGAAUGAGUGAGGGUGGUGUAGGAGUACUUUUGAGCGUAAGGUCUUGAAUGUUUCUGGUUCAAUGAAGCUUUAGAUAUUAAUCCGUAGGGAUGAAGAUUCAUUACAAGUCAUUGAAGGCGGGAGCUCUGGGACUGGGGAGCUAGGCGUCAAAGAUGAAGGGUGAAAAGAUAUAUAUCCCAAAGCAAUGAACGAUAUUGACGUGUCCGAUGGGGGUGGUCGGGGCCCCACACGGGGACGAGGCGGGGAUCCGAACUUCCCUUUUGCUAAUUGCUAAUUGCUAAUUGUUGCAGUGGAAAUUGGGCCCCGACUUUAUCUACUUUUCAUCUACCUUUUUCCUGUUUUCCUUUGUUCCUAUUCUUUUUUAGUAAUAUGCAGGGGUGUGAUUGAGUUGGUUUUGCAGGGGCGUAUAUACUCAUCACUAACUUUAAUAGAAAAUUACAGGCUCCUAUUUGAGUCAACUUGUUCAAGUUACUAACUUCUUUGGGAAAUUAUCACUAUCAUUUGAGUACACUUACUAUUAUCUUUAGAAUUACUGACGUGUCAAAGUCACCGUGUAAAUUGCUCCAAUAAUCUAUCAACAUAUAGCUGAUAACUUUACUGUAUAAGCUACUCCAAUAAUCUAUCAACAUAUAGACGAUAAUUGAUAUUAUGUGAGUACAUAGCGUGUUGAUAAGAGAUCGGGUUGAAAAGAUUUAUCAAACCAGCAUUGAAGGUGAGAAUAGCUCAAUCAUUUAAUAGGCAAGAGGCCCAAACAUAUGUGAAAAAAAAAAGAAUAAAUUAAAACCCAUUAAUGUCUCCCGGAGAUGUACACGAAGUUGCAUUUCUGUGAACAUUUCGUAAUAACAAACAGUGCAAAAAGUUGUCAUUCUUUUAUCCGCUGCAGUGUUUCUAUAACCAAACGGUCCCAUAUUCAGAUACUUGGUUCUGAAGAAAAGAAAAUCGCAGAGAUGUCUUGCUUUGCUCCAAUCAAGUAGACAUCUCAUGAGCUUAAAAAUAACAGGCAAUUGCUUUCAUCACAUCUUAAAUUACAUCGGCUUGAACACGAAAAAUCGAGCAAAAACCUAGGAUAGACAUCUUAAAAACCUUCGAGUCCUCCGCGACCAUCGCCAGCCAACCCUUCUUCGGAUUCCACUCACGCCAUCCUCACCUUCCAAUCAAAAGAAAUCGAGCCAAAACCUCACAAAACCGAAUCGGAAAACAGUUGAUUAGACCCACCCUCUACUUUACAGAAAGAACGGCCCGAAUGGCAGCUGAACCUGAGAAAACAAAGCGGUUCGUCGAAACUUAAAGCUGAAACGGAAGCAUGCGCCGGCGACCCUCCUUCGUCAGUCUACAUCAAGCAGCCCGAGGACCGCAGCCACUAGCUCCGCUGGAACAGAGCUAUUACGCUUGGUCUAAUAGUCGGAGGCGUGGGGAAGGGGCGGUUCUCCCUUUCUUUUUCUUUUUUCUCUGAAAUUGAAAAUUGAAAUUUUUAUCGGAUCCUAGGUGCACUGCUAAUUUUUUUUUUCCUUUUGUCCUCAUUUACUUUUUUUAAGGACAUGUUUCACAAUGGAAUAUGAAUCUUCUGAAUCAAUAGGUUAACCCUCGUUCGGCUCUAUUCCUCCUUCCAUUUCGUUUCAUUUCUCCAUUCUGUUCCAUUUUUAUUUCAUAACUUCCAUUUUUCAUACCAAAUGGGUCGAGAAAUCUUUAGAAUGCAUAUGAUCGUCUACCGACUAGUUUUGAAAAGCAUUGUACUUUGUUAUAAUCUUCGUUAUUCCAAUGGAAGAAGGAUCAUAACACUUGGUACGACAACAAUUGAUUGGACUAAUAGUUGGUAAUAUUCAAAGAGCACAUAAUAGUUCGUUAUUUGAAAUUCAUUACGAUAACGGUGGGAAUCAGGGUGUUUCUUUUUACCUUGUCUCCUUUUUGCAUUGCUCAUGCCCGACAUGAACUUUUGAUUAUUGGUCUACAAAUUAUUCAGAAAUAAAAUCAGAAAAAUUCUCAAAAUAAAUAAAAGAAAAAAAACUACAAACGGAACAGCACAGCAACCAAAAAAAAAAGAUGAAAAAAUGAAAUAGAAAAGCAGCCCAUUGAAAAAAAAAGAAAUGAGGAAAAUCUAUAAGUUAUGCACGGAUUGAGUGAUUUGUCCAUUCAUGUUUUAAUUUCCGGAUUACAUAUAGCUCGCAUACACACUUGCGUUGAGAUCAUACGAGGUCAGUGACAUAAAAAUCGCUACACUUUUAACUAUUAGCCAAUGUGAUACAUGUCCAUCACUCUUGAUUUUAGAUCGAAAAGAUGAAGCGAAAAUCAAUUCCAAAAGAGUGACCUAUAUUGAAUAGCCAAUCGAAAUCCUUCACGGAAAAUGAAUGAUUUGAAAAAUAUUUUUCAAAAAAUAAUUACUCGUACAGUUACAAAAAUGAAAAAAUGCAAAAAAAACACACAUAUUGCAAGCUUGCUGUCACCAUAUAGAAGUUCCUACCUUUGCAUCUCUCUUGUUAUCGCAUAGAAAGUCACCCAACGAAACACAAAUCAUCGUAACUCAAGAAUCUUGGUACGCUUUCUUGGUUUUUUUUUCGACUGUUUGUUUCCAAUCCCCCCACACGAAUCCUCUUCGCCAGACUCGGACCUCACGUGCUUUGUUGGAACUCCCGCUUGGCAAAUACCAUGCUCAUUAUCGUCGUCGUCGUCAAUAAUAUCUCCUGAGUCUGUUUCGCCAGUGCUAGAAGCUAAUGGAUUCGGAGGUUAACAACUCGCCUCUACAGAUUUUACGGCUGCUACUGCUUCAGGGGAAUGAAGAUCGGCGAUCCCUAGCAUCAGAAAGUUACCACUGCUUAAUAAGCGUUUAGGCAUUUUUUCUAGGAAAUCUUAUUGCUUUUUACAAACCGUUUUCUUUUCUGGGUUGCGAACAAGAAUGUUGAUCAGGUGGAUUCUGCUGCCGUAGACAAAAACGAUGUGCUUUUUGCGCACUAACGUGCAUCAUCGCUGAUUAAAAAGAUAUGAGGAAAAUCCAUAAGUGCAGAUCAAGUGGUCUGCCCAUUUGUGUUUUGAUCUUCUAACUACAUAUAGCCCGCAUAUACGCUUGUAUGUUGACAUCAUACGAGGUUUUCGAUGGAUCAAAUCACUGCACUUUUAUCUACCGAUGAGUGUGAUACAUAUCCAUCGCUCUCAAUUUCCCAUUGAAAAGAUAAAGCCAAGAUCAAUUCUGGGAUAGUAAUCAAUAUUAAAUUGCCAGCCGAAAUCCUUUUGCAGAAAAAGUGACCAAUUUGGAAAAUAUUUUUAAAAAAAUAAUUGCUCACGAUUAUAAAAAUGAAUGGAUGCAAAAAGAUUUCGUCGUGCACGACAAUUGAGACGUAUUUUUUGAUUGAUUAUUUCAAAUAAUACAAGAGAUUAUUUUUAAGAAGGUAUUUUUCACAUCAUUCAUUUUUUGCGGAACAAAAUGAAUCUUAAUUCACGUCAAUUUGCAAAUAUUAUCAUAUAAGGCAUCGUUAUCUCAUUUGUCUACAAAACGAAAUCGUUUAAUUCAGGCCCAUACGUUUAAUUAUAAUCUCGUUGCACAUCCCAACGAAAUGAAGUGGCCUGACGGGAGGAGGCUUGGCCCUGCUCCAGCAGAGCUAGUACAGAAGCAUCGGAGGACUCAUGGGACAUCACAUUGAUGCGAAUGUGGCGGUGGACUAGUUGUUGAAAUUGUAAUCUGGAAAAAGCAAUGUGAUCAUCCUCACUUCUGAUUACCUAAAACAAAGAGGCCAACUACUGGUUAACAGGCGUCUCCUCCACCGUUUAGGGACAAGAAUGGUUUGGACAAUUUCCGAUGCUUGCACCGAAUGAUCUUUAGGUUAUUGGAGCUUUUAUGGAGCGAGAAGUCUGGGCUUGGCAGGGCAUCCGUUUACAGUGCAACAAGAAAAGAAGGAUUCAACUCAAUUCCCCGGGCAGGAUAAUACCUGUUAAGGGGCAUUUGUUUUGGAAUUCAGAACCCAAAUCUUCUCAAGGCCUCUCAAACUAUGUUCACAAGUUUCAUGCCUGUCAUCUGGUGCUGUAUAUAUAAAACUCGACACAAUUCUAUCUUAUUUGAUGUUUGGUGACCAUCCACCAUAUGAAAGAUAUCAAUACCUCAAUUUACAGUAUUCUGAAAGCCAAAACUUAGAUCAAGUUCAAAUACACACCAAUGAUUAUGAAAGAUAUGGCGUGUCUCAAAAUGUGUGAAGCAUAACUUACAGUAGAGAUUGCCAACUUGUUAAAUCAGAAUCAAAUCAGAUUUUACCUCACCCUUUCGAGCCAUAUAAUGUCAGUAAUCCAUAUCAUUGCAUACGAUAGGUUUGUAAAAGAAUUUAACACCAGGAUGUUCUGAAAGAUAUGGCGUGUCUCAAAAUGUGUGAGGUAUAACUUACUAUAACAAAUUCCUACAUCUAUCUGAUCACCCUCCACGACUGUUCUAUUCGAUGCUUAAAACUCAACAAUUUAUCAGAGAGAAAAGCCAAAUGCAAAGGUAAUAACGCACACCUGCAGAUGAUUGACGACAACCAACUGAAGUUCUUUUCCAGCACCACAGACAACUUUUGGUACACACUUCAUACCCUAUCAUUGAACAAACGAGCAGACUAAGAUCAUAAAAACCAACCAAAAAGAACAGAAGUCCUAUGGUGACACCAGAACUUUAAAAAACCAGCCGUACCACUUCACCCAGAGAAUUAACAAGAAACUGAUGGACUGCAGGACUGGUCCUAGCACCACCUGGAAGACUCAAAAAUUCCUCUUGAGCAGAGGAGUCAAGACCUAGAUAAGCAAACAGAAACAGUCAAAUGAAGAACAAUGGAAAGCCAUCUACUGCUCUGUAUUAAUAGGACCACUAACCAUGGUCAUUAAUAAGGCUUCAUAACAAAUCAAACUUCUCAUGAAAUAUGUUCAUGGCAUCAGCCCACUGCUUGUGCAUGACCGAUAAUGAUGUCCAGACGACAUUAAGUAAAUCUUCGAUGUCAGAAAACUGUCGAGCAAUUUGAUGAAAUUCAUUUUUACUGCAGACAGGAAGAGAUUGAGAAUCUAAGGAGGCAUUGGGCUGAUAAAGAUUCUUAGAAAUCUGUUCUCGUUCUAUUUGAGAAUGUUAACAUUCUGGUAAUUGUGUUUGAUAACACUUCAAAAGCAGUUAAUGAAAGGAAAACUACUCUUAAAAUUAGAAUUAUGAACUAAAGACCACUUUUUAGUGUUCACAUUCCACAUGCAAACAUGGAGAUUUCAAUUAAGUAAGCCUAUUUUCCUAUUGUGACAAGCAUAUUCUCACAACUUUCAUCCCUUACAACAUACAUCAUGUUCACUCAACAAAUUUCUUGUGAAAAAACAUUGAAAACAGUUUCUAUAAAAAUGUAAUCGAAAACUUAGCAGGCCUCUAAUGGUAGAGAACAAAAAUGACAAGUAAAUCAUGCGACAAUGUUUAAAAUUUUGCAAGAGUAACUCCUGCAUUUUUGUCCCACUACUUUCAACAUCUAAACUACAUUGACUUCCAGAGGUUUCUAUGGAAAGAUAGUAUGACACUUAAAGGUCGGGUGAAAACCUUAUUAAGCAUGAACAAAAUCAUUCAGGCUAUGAAGUAUGAGGCAUCAUGUUGUUCAGCUUAUGGUGCCUCAAAAUUGCUCUAUGUUAACCAUCAGUUUCGUUUUUAAGGAUCAUGAUCAUAUCGUGAGUUAUGUAAGUUUUACUUUCUGUACAAAGUUGAUACCUUUGAAACAAAUAUCAGUGCAUAUAAACAAUCCUAAUAUAGUCAUCAUAUCAAAUACAAUCACUGCUACAAAAACUAUUUAAAAUAUUAAAAAAAAAAAACUAGAACAGAAGUUUCACCUCAAAUUUGAAUAACACUGAAUCCUGGUGCAAUUUCACCUCUAUUGGAAUAUUGAAGUAUCAAGCAAUUGAUUCAGCAAUGUCUUCAACAAGUUCUCCUGCGCAUGCAACCAUCAAAUAACAAAGGUCCUUGGAUGAAGCCACCUAAUGAAAACAAUUACUAGCCAGCUUGCAUUUCUGGUAGAGGAAGGGCAACGAUCAGCCUAGCAAAUAAGUCUGCUUGCUCUGGUGGAACAUCUAACCUGAUAUCUGGAAUGCUCCAAUCAUAUGAAUAAACUUACAGCUAGUACAUUUGAAGUUUAGCAAACAGCUUCACCGUCAUACGUCUAUCAAAAUAUUAUCCGAGCUGUUUAGCAUUUACUGUGUCAGGUUGUUUUGACAUUUUAACCAAGCCAUCGUCGAAGAAACGAACACACUGAAUUGAAAAAAAAAAGAGAACUUUCUCGAGUCAAAGCAAUUACCAGGAGAGAUUGUCCACAACCUCUACCAAUUGAAGCGAUGAAGCACCCACCUUCGAGUCCUCCGUGACCAUCGCCAGCAAAUCCUUCUCCGAAUUCCAAUCCACCAUCUUCACCUGCCAAUCGCAAGAAAUCGAGCCAAAACCUCACAAAACCGAAUGGGAACACAAUCGAAUCGACCCGCCCAUUAUUAGGUCGCCAAAAAAGGCCGGCCGGAGCCGAACCUGAAAAGCCACCGGUUUGUCGAACUGAAGCUGAAAGGGAAGCACGCGCCGCGACCCUUCGUCGGUCUCCAUGGCUGAAAAAGCUCCGGAAGCAGCCGAAAACGCAGCCACCAGCUGCCGGGGCAAGCCGCGAGGGAGCGUACAGAAGCGGCGGCGGCGGCGGCGGCGGCGGCGGCAAAUGCGAACUGAGAGAGGGAGAGCCGGUGGAGGUUGGAGCCCGAAAAACCCUAGAAGAAAGCCUGAAGAGCGAGACGGAAGAGACGAGCGAGAGAGUAACGAAGUGCACUGGAAGCCUGAGAAUUUUUGCAGAACAGGCGGGAGAGAGACGAUGAGGAAGGAGAGAGGAUCUGAUUACGGGCCGAGCCGGGCCAUUAGUCGGGCUUUAACUUCUUCUCCGGGCUCUUUCCUCAUAGAAAAAAGAACGUGUGCGAUGACACAACGGGCCGCUACGGGCCUUGAAAGUUGUCCGCAUAGGGAGGGAUCACAACAACAUUUACUCGAGAAACUCGAAAGAACUCGGGGUUGAAAGACGUUGGUUAGUCAAAGGUAAUGACCCGCCGUUAAACAUUCUCGCUACUCAAGAUAUAGAGGCCGUGAUGCCAGUGGGGUUUUGCCGUUAGAAAGAGAGGCGUCAGAAUUGUGUAGUUAGAUGAACCACCUAACUAAAGUCCAAGCUCAAUUUGAUCGUUGCUAUCGUUGCUAUCAUCACACUACGAAAGAUAAUCUCAAUUUGCUGUCUAAUAGAAAUUAUCGUGACUUUUUCUUAGACGAGGGCAUUUUUGUUACUUGUCCAUGUAGGACCUUGUUAUCAUUGAUAAUGUUAUUCAUCUGUGGACAAAAUAGUUAUAUUUACUAAUUUUUCAUAAAAUAGUGUCUCUCUACUCCAGUUCUUUCAACAUCUUUCUCCAAAAGGUUCUUUGAUUUUUCACAUGUAAGGAACGUAAGGUAUAUCAUUCAAAGAGCAUGCUCAGAUUCUGCGCUUGUUCUGCAUCGGCAUUGCAACCACGUCGAUCGAGUGCCAUGUAUUGAGUCUUCCUUGUUUCCUGUUAUUUACAGGCAAUAUAGUUACUUUUCGCAACACAUACGCUGUUAAAUUAUGAUGUUAAGUUCCCCCGUUAUCCUCCAUCCAUUUAGACUAUUAGUUUAAUAGGGACGCUAACUUACAAACAUAGUUCGUUCUACAAUUACUAAAAUAGUAGCAGAAGCAAAUUUUACAAGACUACACAAUGGCUGUGAUAGAGGGUUCACCCAAAGGUGUUUUGUGUGACAAACACAAAUUACCUUCUAUCCUUUUCCUAUCAAGAGUGAGGCUUCUCUCCAUAUUCGAGCAAUACUCGUGAUCCUGGCCUUCUCUUCUGGUUUCUCGGUCCUUGAAAUUUUUUACACUAGUUUCUCCCAAACGAGCUUAUGUAAGAUAGCUCGUGCACAGUUUAAUUUAAUACGCGGAUUGCACUGGUAACGAUUUAUUGUUUUAUCAUAUUAUUAAUUUUUGUUGUCACUAUUUCUGCACUUAUUAUGGAUUGGGAUGGAAUACCUUGAUGACGUGAAGAUAUGGAAAGUAAUAAAUGAAGCAAAUCUUACAAUGGAUUUAACUAAAGUCGACGGGGAGUCAUCAUAAAAAUAAUUAAUAAAAUAUCACAUAUGCACAUGUUACAUACAUAUAAUCAUAUAUAAGAAUGCAGUUACUAUCUCAGUGCAGAUGACUGAACACAAAGCUAUUGUGUCUAUAAGAGUUUCUCCUUUAGAUUGGCAAUAAAUCCUAGUGAAUAAAUGAUAAACUUAAAACAAUUUUAAAUUCUUGUAUGUUUAUACAACAUUAAGUUUAUUGGCUACAUGAUACUCUUUGUUAAAAUACAAAACAUGAAUCUUUGUUAAGAAUACAAAACAUAAUCUCGUGAUCUUAAACCUACCAUUUAUUUACAAAUUUCGAAUAUCUGAGAUUGGAUAAUGGUAUGCGUUCUUUAACUAUACAUCUAGCUAGUCAUAUCGAUUAUACUAAUCUAGGAGGUUUGCCCUUUCACGCCAGAGUAUUUUGUACAUUGGAUUGGAUGCAUCACUCAAUAGCAACACAUGGAGAAGCGAGCCAAUUUUAGGUGAUAGAUUUCAACAUUCAUAUGUGAAGUGUAUCGGUUAAUUACACCAUGUAAACCAUCCAACCCAAAGAUAAACAAUCCAAAGCAGUCAUUUAAUUAUCUUAUAUAUGGAAUUAAUAAACAAUAACGCAUGAAGCAUAAGCUGGGCACUAUCAAAGAGCUAUCAAAGCUUGCAGAAAUACAGUGAAUACAGUUAACCCCCAAGAUAGAAGCCACGGGUCAGUAUAUUUCAGCCGAUUCCAUCUAACUAAAUAGAUAAAUAGUUAGCUUUUACUCCACAUUUUCUCUUCGAUGAAUGCCUGCCUAGCGAAGAGGUUCACGGCAGGCAUAAAUUAAAACUCUUCGAAAAGGGGUGGAGCCGAAGAGCUUCAAUCGGAAAGCCCACAUGCAUUGCUUCUCACUUUGAUGCCUCCUGCAGCUUCGAGUAUUAGAGGUCCACCCACAAGCAACAUGAGCAUUACCACUGCAAAUUCACGAACAGACGUUCAUUCUGAAUUUGAGAUUUCAUCUUCAUGCUUGUCCAAGUAUGUAGACCAGGGCCCGGUUUCUUGCAACCAAAACACAAGCUGCGCUCUACUAGCUGUCACAAAAGAAAAUCAACUUGAUUUCACUCCAAUGUUCCUAUAAUAUGGCCAUAACUAAUGCAAAGUUUUGAUACCUCUGCUGGGUAAAAGUAACAAGUACAAUACUUGCAUCACGCUAAAACACAGGCAGAAGCAAUACUUGCGUACCUAAAGAGGCUAUGGUAUGCAUGUGAACCAUGAAUACUCAGCAGUAUCUUGCUAUACUAGAUACCAUGAUAGUAUCAAUCAUCAUGAACAUGUACGUAAUAGUUCUCAGUCAGUAAAUCAUGCUGCAAUGAACCCUAACAUAAGAAGAUAAUUAUUCUUGUUGUGUUUGUCUGGCCACUAAUGAUUCAUCUUUUUCACACUUUCACCUUCCGAUUUAUCUAAAAUUGAUAGGAAAACCUACUACUUUAGCAUUUUACUUCUUCAAAUGAAAAAAAAAAAAAAUUCUUCUUUGGAGCAUCAAUUUGCACAUUUCCAACUGUUGGAACAAGGAUGAAAUGGUCCAUUAAGCACAACGAACCUGUGCCAGUCACAUAUUUAAACUUAAGAGUAGCUUGUAAAAGUGGAAUUUGAGUAAGGAGCAUGGAUAAGAUUAAUUCAAUUCCAACAUCUAGCCAAUGAGAUAUAUUUGUUAAUGACAAUGGCAAGUUUAUCAAACAAUGAUACAAAAAGGAAAGACCAUGGGCAACAAUAAGUUACCAAACAUCCAACCUGCAAAUGGACCUAGUAAGAAACUCAAGGAAUAGAGUUUUUUGACUGUAUGAUUGAUGGCGUGGCAAUGAAUUGAUCCUUAGCUUGAUUGUGUGGGCAAUGUGAAAAAUUCUAAUUCUUACCACUAAUUGACAAGGGCAAACUGCAGUAUGGGAUUGCUGCCAACUUCUCAUUCUUCAUCUCUAGGUGUAGAAUAAAGUCCUCGAUGUGUAAUUUCCCUGGGUGAGUGUUUCAAAAGUGUGAAUGAGACAACCAAGCAAUAGUGUUCUCACAAAAUAGAAGCAAAAGUGGCGGUCAUGUUUUGAUCUAUUUAACAAAGGGGGGCAUGUUCGAAAAGAGUGUUCUUAACAAGAUUUGUUAAGUUUCUAUGCUCAGAAUGACCUAUCUAGCAGUCCACUGUUAAUUUGACAUUAGGAGACAUGACCCAUAAACACGGAUUGCCAUCUCCAUUAGCAGCUAAAUGUUUGUUGAGCAAGCUUCUGUUUGCAAUGCAUCAUGUGGCUUUUGAGCAAUUUAGAAUCUUUCCAAAGAGAGAUUAGAGAAGAACACAUUCUGAUGAUAAGGGAUUGUUGCAGGAAGAUUUCUAAGUGAGAUGUAGGGAGGAUAAUGUUAAAGUAAUAACAUAGCAAACUUACUUCAACGUGAAACUGUACCAUCUUCUAGUCCCAAGGCAACAACUUUGCCAUCAGGAAGCCAGCAUAAUGAUGUUAUGCAUUUACCUGGAGUAAAUUAGAAUAGUUAAGAUAAUCCAGUAUAACGACAUAAAAUGGAAUGUGCAACGAAAAGUGAUUUCAUAAACAACAACAAGAAGGCCGAUGACUCAAAGGGCACGCACACUAGCUAUCGUCGAAGAAACGAACAUACUGAAUAAACAAAAAAAAGGAGAACUUUCUCGAGCCGAAGCAAUACCAAGGAGAGAUUGUCCAUGGCCUCCGCCAAUUGAGGCGAUGAAGCACCACCUUCGAGUCCUCCGUGACCAUCGCCUGCAAAUCCUUCUCCGGAUUCCACUCCGCCAUCUUCAUCUGCCAAUCGGAAGAAAUCGAACAAAAAUCUCACAAAACCGAAUCGGAAACAAAUCGAAUCAACCCGCCCAUUAUUAGAUCACGAAAGAAGGCCGAAACGGGAGCCGUACCUGAGAAGCCAGCGGCUUGUCGAACUGAAGCUAAAAGGGAAGCACGUGCCGCGACCCUUCGUCGGUCUCCAUAGCUGAAAAAGCUCCAGGAGCAGCCGAAAAUGCAGCCACCAGCAGCUGGAGCAAGCAGCGAGGGGGUGUACAGAGAGCUAGUGGAGGGUAGAGCUCGAAAACCCUAGAAGAAAGCUUGAAGACCAAGACAUUCUGCCUCGAGCCCUUCCCCACGUCCCUCGUUCGACAGCCGAUUACGCCUCCACGAGGCCGCGCACGAUCAAGAGCUCCUCUGUUCCCGACCGGCUCGACGAAUCGCGCCCCGAAUCGGAGUCGCCUUCGACGGAGAGCACGGACCGGAGGCCGGAAACUCGGACCGACGGGGAGCGGAGGAGCUGGAGGUCAACCUGACGAUCGUGCCGACGGCAGCCGGAGCGAGGGUCGGCGGAGACAACGAGGAAGAGAAGAGAAUUUGAUUACGGGCCGAGCCGGGCCGGAUUGGGCCAUAAGUCGGGCUUAACAGGUGGCCCUUCGGGCCCGGGUUCAGGCCCGUCAGACUACUGAUCAUGUCAAGGCGCAGCCCAUUUAUAGAGUUUUUUACGUGGAGUUUAGGAGUAAGCCACGGAACCAGUGAACUUCAGAACAAUAGAGAAAGAGAGUUGGGCUUCGCGUGAGAAACCGAGGGUAAAAUGAAGAGCAUGACUCCGUUUUUUUUGUAAAAAAUUAAUAAUUUAGAAAAUAUUUUUUUAAACUUAAUCAUCUUUAUUUUUUAAAAAUGAGUCGAUAAAAAAGUAAUUUUCAUUAUUAACAAUAAUUCGUGUCAAACAUUUUUGUUAAUGAAAAUAUUUUCUGUUACCACUUUUUCAAGGAAAUGUAAAUGAUCAAAAUUAGGAAAAAGAUCUUUUCCAAAUAUUGAUUUUUCAAGACACGAACAAAGCCUUAGAGAAUGUGUCUUUGUAUGAACUAGUUUGCUCUGAGUGCUUUUUCUAGUGAUGUGAGAAAUUCAAUUAUAAUAGUGAGGUGCAGUAUUUUGCUGGUCAUAAUGUACACUAGUUGUGUGAGAUAAUCAUUUUUUUGAGUGUGUUGUUUGUACUGUUAUGUGUGUUUCAAGUUACCUAUUACAAUUUUCUCAUGUUACUAGCACCUUGCUUUCGCAUCCAUUAACUGGUAUUAGAGACUUCACUUAAGUCUUUGUCCAUCUGCUAAGUCAAGGUGAGCGAUGACAUGAUUAAGAUUUUGAUGGGUGGCCCUGUUCUUAAGUACUUACAUUUAAUUGAGAAACUUGAAAGAGCUUGAGAUUGAUAGAUGUUGGCCAAUUGAAGCUAACGAUUUGCUGUUAAAGAUUCUCGCUUCUUGCUGUCUUCGUGAGUAACAUGAUGUUUUCCGCGAUCAAAAGAUUAGGAUAGUUGAAGCCUUGCGUUGAUUCUUUCUGUCAGUUGAAAUAGCAAUGCUCUCAUGAAAACUAAAAACUAAAGAGAUUACAAUAAAUGUCAGAAGAAUUAGUACUGCAACUAUCAUCACCAAGAUAAGCCAUCAAAACACGCACCAUUUGAAUAUUUUACCACAACGAAAGUUAUACUUUAACUUAUGAUGAACUUUGAAAAAACUUGAAGUUGAAAAAACUUCGCACUUAGGUGUCCCAUCUUUAAAAAAAAAAAAAAAAGUGAUACUUAAAUGUCAUUUUCCUAAUUACAUGCUAAGUUUUGAGAUUUAAGUGUCCUCUUAUACCAAGUUUUGGCAUUUGAGCUAUUUUUUUACUUAUAAAUAAGUCUAACAUCCCCUAGGCUCUAAUAGUAAUAUUAGUAGGUGAAAAGAUUUGAAAAUGAUUCUUUGGUACAAAAAUUGACUCGCAAUUAUGAGGGGAUAUAUGCUAAGAUAGAAGUGGGCAAUAAACUUUUUCCUUUUAAAUUGAGAACAAAUCUCUACACCUGCUAAUUAUAAUGUGAAUGUAUAAACAUUCUAUAUUCAAAUCUCCAUGUAGAGUACACUUAAAGCUCAAACUUAGAUCAAGUAUAAGUUCAAACCAAUGAUUAAUGACCUACAAUUUCCUUUUUACACUUAUAGGAGAGAUUGCCAACUUGUUGAAUCAAACUCAAAUCAGAUUUUACUUCACCCUUUCCACCCAUUUAAUGUUGGUAAUUCAUAUCAUUGCAUAUGAUAUGUUCGUAUGAAGAAUCAACAUCAAGAUGAUCUGAAAUAUAUGGCAUGUCUCAAGAUGUGUGAAGCAUGACUUACUGUAAUAGAUUUCUAUCUCUAUCUAAUCACUACGAAGAUUAUUCUCCAAGAUGCAUGAAACUUAAUUAUUUGGGAAAAAGGCCAAUUGCAAAGAUGAUAACGUGCACCUGCAGAUGAUUGAGGACAACCAACUGAAGUCCUUUUCCAACACCACAAACUUUUGAUACACGCAUCAUUCCCCAUAACUGAACAAACUAGCAAACUAAAAAAGCAACCAAAGAAGCCAAAGUUCUAUAGCAUCAUCAGAGCUUAAAAAAUAAACCAUACCACUUCACCCGGAGAAUUAACAAGAAAGUGAUGGAUUGCAGGANNNNNNNNNNNNNNNNNNNNNNNNNNNNNNNNNNNNNNNNNNNNNNNNNNNNNNNNNNNNNNNNNNNNNNNNNNNNNNNNNNNNNNNNNNNNNNNNNNNNUCACAAACCGAAGAUGACUUUUUAGUAUUCUCAUUCCAAAUGCAAACGUAGAGAUUUGGAAUAACUAAGCCUGUUUUUGGAAUGUGAUGUAACCCGAGCAUAUUCUCACAAUUUUCAUCCCUAAUGACAUAUUUCAUUUUCACUUAACAAAUAUUUUAUCAAAAAAAAAAAAAGAACAUCAAAAACAGUUUCUAUGAAGAUGGAAACUGAGCAGGCCUUAAACAGUCGAGAACAAAUCCUCCUCUAGAUUCCACUCCGCCAUCCUCACCUGCCAAUCGGAGGAAAUCGAGCAACAACCUCACAAAACCGAAUCGGAAAACAAUCGAAUUGCCACCGCCCAAACAGGAGCCGAACCUGAGAAGUGAAAGCGGUCCGUCAGAACUUGAAGCUGAAAUGGUAGGGCGUGGUGUUGGAACAGAGCUGGUGUUACGCUCGAUCUGAUAGUCGGAGGAAGGAGGCAGGGGCGGAUCUUUUUCUUUUUCUUUUUCUUUUGUUUAUGAAAAUUAAAAAUUGAAAUAUCCUUUUCUUUUUCCCUAUCUUUUACUUAUUUUAAGGACGUGUUUCACAUUGGAAUAUGAAUGGUUUGAUUUUUUUUUUUUUUUGGCAAAGAAUCUUCUUGAUUAAUAGGUUAAUUUUCAUAGUCACAACCAGAUGCAAAACAAAGAAACCCUCAUUCGGCUCUAUUUCCCUGUCGAUUUCAUUUUAUUUUUCUGUUCCAUUUCUCUAUUUUGUACCUUCAAUUUUAUCAUGUCAAAUGGAUCAUGAGUUCUUUAGAACAUGUAUGAUCAUUUAUCGACUAGUUCCGAAAAGUAUUGGAUUUUGUUAUAAUCUUCGUUGUUCUGGUAGAGGAAAGUUUGUAAUAUUUGAUACGACAAAGAUUGAUUGAAUCGAUGAUCGGUAAUCGCUUAAGAGUAUCCGGUGGUUUCUUUUUUGAAAUUCGUUACUAAAACGAUGGAAUCGAGGAAUUCCUUUUUACCCUUUCUCCUUUUUGUUGAGCAAAUGAAGACUGAUGAGACUAAACCAUAUGCUACGAACACGUCAACGUCUAUCUUUUGUUCGUUCAGUUUUUGCGUUGCUUAUACCUGAUAUCAACUUUUGUUAGUUGCUCUACAAAUUAUCCAGAAAUAAAAUCGCAAAAAUUCUUAAAAUGAACAAAAGAAAAGAAAAACUACAAACAGAGUGGCUCAGCAACACGAAAAAGGAAAAAAAAAAAAAAAGGAAGACGAAAAAUUGAAAGAAAAAAGCAGUGCAUUGAAAAAAAUCGUAAAUUUUCUUCAUAGAGUAUUGGAUUUUCUAACCAUCAUUGGCCGAAUCUGUGCCUUCGCCGGUGUCUUGGCAGCCCCAGACUCUCGCCAAGACAUCAUCGACGAGCAAACCGCCGCUCGUGCUGAAGUAGGGGUCGGCCCGAUAACCUGGGGUCGUGCAGUCGCGGCUUACGCUCAGAAGUACACGGACGAGCCUAGAGGUGACUGCGACCUCGAGCACUCCGGAGGGCCCUACGGCAAGAACCUAGUCAAGGGCUAUAGUGUCCUGAGCAGCAGAGACUCGGUGAAGAUGCGGGCGGGAGAGAACGACAACUACGACUACUGCUCGAACUUGUGCGUGGGAGGCGAGUGCCUGCACUACACUCAAGUCGUGUGGUGCAACUCGGUUCGUCUAGGAUGCGCUAGAGUGAAGUGCGAUAACGGGCGGUGGUCUACGAUCCUCCUGGCAAUUACGGACGGCGAGCGGCCGUAUUGAACGGUCUAUACAAGUUCUGAAUAAACUCUUAUGAUUUAGACGAUUCUACAAAACCACACCACUCCCUAUUUGAGACAUACAUAUCGUAAGCCUACUGUCACCAGACGACACUUCCUGCCAAGAAGUUCCUACCUUUGCAUCUCUCCCGUUAUCAUAUAGAAAGUCACACAACAAAACACAAAUCAUCAUAACUCAACAAUCUCGGUAGGCUUUCUCGAUUUCUUUUUCGAUUGUUUGUUUCUGAUCCCUCCAUACGAAUCCUUUUUGCCAGAUCUGACAUUGCGUGCUUUGUGGGAACUCCCGCUUGGCAAAUACUGUGCUCAUCAUCAUCAUCGUCGCCGGUAGUAUCUUCUGAGUCUGUUUCGCCAGUGCUAGAAGCCAACGGAUUCGGAGGUUAACAACUUGCCACUGCAGAUUCUACAGCUACUACUGCUUCAGGGGUAUGAAGAUCCGCGAUUCCCAGCAUCAAGUUCUGUUUCGUUAAUUGCUCUACAAAUUAUCCAUAAAUAAAUUCGCAAAAGUUUCAAAAUGAACCAUAUAUAUAUAUAUAUCCAAGCAGAACACCGCAGCAACACAAAAAAGAAAAAAAAGAUGAUGAUGACAAAAAUGAAAGUGAAAGUAAAAUGUUCUUUGCGUAGUCGCUUAAUAAGUGUUUGGGCAUUUCUUUUACGAAAUCCUAUAGCUUUCUACAUUUUUAUCUUUUGGUUCUGUUGUAGAACAAAACGAUGUACUUUUUGCACACUAGCAUAUGUUGUUGCUGAUUAAAAAGAAAAGAAGAAAAUCUAUAAGAUAAGCGUGGAUCGAGUGGUCCACCCAUUCAUGUUUCAAUCUUCAAAUUGCAUAUGGCCCAUAUGUAUGCUUGUGUGUUGAGAUCAUACGAUGUUCGUGACGGAUCAAAUCGCUACACUUUUAUCUACCAAUGGGGGUGAUACAUGUCCAUCACUCUCGAUUUCCAAUCAAAAAGAUAAAGCUGAGAUCAAUUCUAGAAUAUUGAUUUGUCUUGAAUUGCUAACUAAAAUCCUUCGCGGAAAGCGAAUGAUAUGAAAAAUACUUUUCAAAAAAUAAUCGCUCGUAUAGUUACAAAAAAUGAACGAAUGCAAAAAAUUAAAGUCAUGUAUGAAAAUAUUUAAAUAUAAAUUAUCGUCAAUAAUGAGAUGUAUUUCAAUAAUUUCAAGUAAUACUAAUGAUCAUUUUUAGGGAUAUAUUUUUCAAAUCAUUCAUUUUCUAUAGAACAAAAGGAGUCUUAAUUCACGUCAAUUUACAAAUAAUAUCAUAUAUGGCAAGAUGUGUUCAGGUUUGUCUAAGAAUCGAUAUCGUUUAAUUCAGGUCCAUAUGUUCAAUGGUAAUCUCGCACACUUCCCAACAACAACGAAGUGGCCUGACAAGAAGGCGACUUGGCUCUGUUCCAGCAGAGCUGGUACAAAAGCGUAGGACUCAUGGGACAUCACAUUGAUGCGAAUGUGGCGGUGGAUUAGUUGUGGAAUUUGUAAUUUGGAAAAAGCAAUGCGGUCAUCCUCACUUCAGAUAACCUAAAACAAAGAGGCAAAAUACUAGUUAACUGACGUUUCCUCCUUGCGGAGGAAGAGAAUCCGUGCGGCAUCUCCUCCUCCACCGUUUAUGGACAAGAAAGGUUUGGACAAUUUCCGAUGCUUGCACCGAAUGAUCUUUGGGUUAUUGGAGCUUUCAUAGAGCAAGAACCAUGGGCUUGGCAGGGCACUCGCUUACAAUGCCGCAAGAAAAGAAGGAUUUAACUCAAUUCCCCAGGCGGGAUAAUUCCCGUUAUGGGGCAUUCAUUUCAGAAUUCAGAACCCAAAUCUUCUCGAGGCCUAUCAAACUAUGUUUCGCAAGUUUCAUGCCCAUCAUUUUGUUGCUUGUACAUAUAAGACUCGACACAAUUCUAUCUUAUUCGAUAUCUGGCAACCAUCCACCUUACACAAGAUAUCCAUAUCUCCAUUUAUAGUACUCUGAAAGCCCAAACUUAGAUCAAGUCUAAAUUCAAACCAUUAAUAAUGACCUAUAAUUUCUAUUAUAUGCUUAUAGUAGAGAUUGCCAACUUGUGAAAUCAGAAUCAAAUUAGAUUUUACCACACCAUUUCCAGCCAUAUAAUGCUAGUAAUCCAUAUCAUUGCAUAUGAUAGGUUUGUAUAAGAAUCCAACAUCAGGAUGUUCUGCAAGAUAUGGCGUGUCUCAAAAUGUGUGAAGCAUAAUCCAAGAAUGUUCUAUGCGAUCCUUAAAACUCAAUAAUUUCUCAGAGAGAGGCCAAAUGCCAAGGUAAUACGUGUGCCUGCAGAUGAUUGAGGACAACCAGCUCAAGUUCCUUUUCAGCACCACAGGCAACUUUUGAUACACGCUUGAUACCCUACCAUUGAACAAACUAGCAGACUAAGAUUAUAAAAACUAACCAAAAAGAACAGAAGUCCCACAAUGACACUGGAACUUAAUAAAAAAAACCAGCUUUACCACUUCACCCAGAGAAUUAACAAGGAACUUAUGGACUGCAGGACUGAUCCUAGCACCACCUAGAAGACUAAACAAUUCCUCCUAAGGAGAAGAGUCAAGACCUAGAUAAGCAAACAUAAACAAUCAAAUGAAGCACAAUGGAAAGCCAUCGACUGCUCUGUUUUAACAGGACCACUAACCAUGGUCAUUAAUAAGGCUUGUUAACAAAUCAAACUUCUCAUGAAAUAUGUUCAUGACAUCAGCCCACAGCUUGUGCAUGACUCAUAAUGAUGUUCGGAUGACAUGACAUAAAUCUUCGAUGUUGGAAGCUUGUUGAGCAACUUGAUGAAGUUCAUUUUUACUGCAGACAGAAAGAGAUUGAGAAUCUAAGUAGGCAUUCAGUGGAUAAGGAUUUCAGAUAUCUGUUCUCAUUUUAUUUGAGAAUGUAAACAGUCCAAAAAAUGUGUUUGGUAACACUUCGAAAACAGUUGAUGAAAGGAAAAAUAUCAAUAAAAUCAAAAAAAAAAAAAAAACUGAAGACGACUUUUUAGUGUUCACAUUCCAUGUGCAAAUAUGGAGAUUUGGAAUAACUACGCCUAUUUUCUUAUUGUGAUGGAACAUGAGCAAAUUCUUAUAACUCUCAUCCCUUACAACAUACAUAAUUUUCACUCAAAAAUUUUCUGUGAUAAAACAUUGAAAAUGGUUUUUAUAAAAGUGGAAACAAAAAUAUCAUAGAAAACUUGGCAGGCCUCUAAUUGUAGAGGGUACAAAAAUGACGUGUGAAUCAUGAGACGAUGUUCAAAAUUUUGCUAUCGUAACUCCUGCAUUUUUGUCCCACCACUUUCAACAUCUAAACUUCAUCGAUUUCUAGAGGUUUCUACUGAAAGAUGGUAUGAUACUUAAAGGUCGGGUGAAAACCUUAAGCAUGAACAAAAUUAUUGAGGCUUCAAGUAUGAGCCAUCGUCUUGUUCAGCUUAUGGUGACUCUUGAAAGUCAACUUGGGCAUUUAAAAUUAUCAGAGAGAAAGUUCUUCUAUCUAGCAAAGUUUAGAGUUAAUUCCAAGAAAAAUUCCUCAAAAUUGCUACGUUAACCAUUGGUUUUGUUUUAAGGAUGAUGAUCAUAUCCCGAGUUUUAUGAGUUUUACUUUCUGUAAAACCAAACAAAGUUGAUACCUUUGAAGCAAAUAUCAGUGCACAUAAACAAUCCUAAUAUAAUCAUAAUAUCAAAUAUAAUCGGUCAAUCGCUACUAUAUAUAUAUGUAUAUAUAACACUAGAACAAAGUUUCAUGUAAAAUUUGGAUAACACUAAAUCCUAGUGCAGUUCUACCUCUAUUGGAAUAUUGAAGUAUCAAGCACUAAGCAAUGGAAGCCAUGCAUUCUGUUUCCAACCGUUUGACCCCACUCUCGAUUCAACAAUGUCUUCAACAAGUUCUCCUGAGCAUGCAACCAUCAAUGACAAAGAUCCUUGGAUAUAGCCACCUAAUGAUAACAAUUACAUGCCAGUUAGCUUGCUCUGGUGAAACAUCUAACAUGAUAUCUGGAAGAAUCCAAUCAUAGGAAUAAAAUUACAGCAGGUCCAUUUGAAGUUUAGCAAAAGCUUCAGCAUCUUACAUCUAUCAAAACAUUAUCCAAGUUGUUUGGCAUUUUAACCAAGCCAUCAUUGAAGAAACGAACACACUGAAUAAAGAAAAAGGAGAACUUUCUGGAGACGAAGCAAUUACGAGGAGUGAUUGUCCAUAGCCUCUGCCAAUUGAAGCGAUGAAGCACCCACCUUCGAGUCCUUCGUGACCAUCGCCAGCAAAUCCUUCUCCAAAUUCCACUCCCGCCAUCUUCACCUGCCAAUCGGAAGAAAUCGAGCAAAAACCUCACAAAACCAAAUGGGAAAACAAUCGAAUCUACCCGCCCAUUAUUAGGUCGCGAAAGAAGGCGGACCAGAGCCGAAAUUGAGAAGCCAGAGGUUUGUCGAACUGUAGCUGAAAGGGAAGCACAUGCCGCGAACCUUCGUCGGUCUCCAUAGCUGAAAAAGAUCCGGGAGCAGCCAAAGCGUCAGGUGGCAAAUGCGAACUGAGAGGGAGAGCCAAUGGCGGAGGGUAGAGCCCAAAAACCCUAGAAGAAAGCCUGUUGGAAGAGAAGAUCGAGAGAGUAACGAAGUGCGCUGGAGCCUAAGAAUUUUGCAGAGAAGAUUGCGGGAGAGGAAGAACAGGUGGGAGAGAGACAACGAGGAAGAGGAGAGAGAGAGAGGAUACGGGCCGAGCCGGGCUGGAUUGGGCCAUAAGUCGGGCUAAACUUCUUCUCCGGGCUCGUUCAUCAUACGAAAAAUAACGUAAGAGAUGACCCAACGGGCCGCUAAGGCCUCAAACGGUCCGGACCACUUUCGAUAACUCGAGAGUUGAGAUUAAACCGAACGGGGUUUGGUUCAGGCAUUUCAUCAAACGUUUGAAGCGCGCUGGCUGAAAGAGGGGAAAACCGAGUACCAACUCGCGCCGAGACUCGCAAUAAUAAUCAACAAGCAGUAGUGAUCCAAAACAGUAGCGCACAGACGAAUGGGGCCGGUGCUCGCGCGAACCGGACGACGAGGAAGCCUGGUCCGGUGAGCCCGAAACGGGGCAAGGCAGGGGCACAAACAGGGGUGUCGGCCGAGAGUCCCUACCCAGCUCAAGAGCGCGGCCAGGAGUCGUCAGACGGGGUUCGGGCGUGACCGGACUACCGGAGGGCUCCUCGCUCUCAAACUCUCUCUCUCUCUCUCUCUCUCUCUCUCUCUCUCUCUCUCUCUCUCUCUCUCUCUCUCUCUCGGUCGCUCUCACGGUCUCUCAACCCUUGUCUAUUCCCUCUCUCACUCUAUUUCUCUCCAAAAAUCUUCCCUUUUAAGUUCUCUACCCGGUGCGCAUGGCUUCCUACCACACAAGCUGUCGCCGCCGGUCUUUCUCCGACCACCAACUCCGGUGAGACGCUCGUCGUGUUCUCGCGUCACUGUCCUCGCGGUGCGGACCCCCCUCCACUUUUUUUUUUCACAUUUUUCCCCUUUUUCAAUGAUCUAUAUAUAUUUAUAUAUAUAUAAUACUUUUAAUAAAUUCUAGCACCUUACAACUUUAUUGUAUAUAAAGCAUGGCUCUAACGCCAAUUGCCAACUUAUGAAUGCUUCUGUCAAGAAGGUACACUAUGACCAUUGUCGCCUCUCGAGAGCCUCAUGUUCCUUCAACUGAUGGGUUAAUGAUAGUUGGCCUUUUUUGCUCUGAUAUGACUAAUUUUACUUUCCUUCCUAAUUAGUCUUCCAAUAUCUUUCAACUUCAUGAUACGGUAAAUUGUCUUUUCUUUAGUUUUUUUUCCAUGCAUUAGGAAAUGAAAAAUACAAGUAAACCUUAAGAGACACUUUCUGAAGACUGAUGAUCACGUUAAACUUAGAGUUAUACAAAAUAAUCUAGAUUAAAUUUAGCAAAAAAUUACUGCACCCACGUUAAUGCUUUUGGCCUAUUUCAGCAUUUAGUUUAUCAUGCCUUAGUUAUUUUAAAUCGCAUGCUCUCAUGGACUUCACACAUUGGUGUGACACUUUUAUGGGAUUGGGAAGUGGAAGGAAAUGUUUUUAAAGGCGAUGAUUCAAUGGAUGUUAGGACUAGUUAUUGGUGCAGCCUUGUGGGUAGAAGGUUGAGGGCUUUUAUUAAUCAACUAUAUUUUAUAUUCUAUUUUAAUGAUUUAAUUAGAAACAAGAGAGUACAUGUAUUUAUUAAGAAUGUUUUCAAAAGUAACUGUGUCUGCCCUUGCAGGACUCACAUAAAUGGCAGUGUUCCACUACUCAUGUGUCACAUUGAUCUUAGAUAAUAAGGGCGCGUUUAGUAACCAUUCUGUUAUGGGGAACAAUUUUUGAACAUAAAUAGUUUUUUCUAUUUCUAUUCUCGGGAACAAUUUCUGAGCAAAAGAAUGUGUUUGGUAACUGCAUAAAAUUUCUAUUCCUGGGAUAGAAAUACAUUUGGUAAAAUUUUUAGAUUUUUUUAUUUCUUUUAAUUUUUUUAAUUUUUUAAUUUUUUUAAUUUUUUUUUAAUUUUUAUUAUUUUUUUUUGUUUUCAUUUUCUCUUUGGCCGGUCGCUGGCCACCGCUAUGGCCGGCAAUCAGCUGGGCGACAUUCGAUGAGCUCACCGGAGGCCAGCCUGGCCUCGGCGAGGCUUGGCCUCGCCUAGGUGGUGCGAGGUCGACCUCGCCCUAGCCUAUCGAGGCCCAGCCUUGCGUCGGCUGGGGAGGCCAAGCCUCGCCAUGCCUUGGCCUCUUCGGGGGCUGGCGAUGCUCCGGUGAGGUCGCUGACCCUCGUUUGGCCGGUCGCUGGCGUCGGCCAAAAGGAAGAAGAAGAAGAAAAGAGAAGGAAAAAAAAAAUAGAGAAUUUUUUUUUUAAUUGUUCUCGAGAAUAAGAAGUAACUUUUUUCUACUUCUUGUUUCUGUUCCAAAUCUAUUCCCGAGAACAAAAAAAAUAGAUUUUUUUGUUCCCAGGAACAAAAGUUUUACCAAACACGUUUCCGUUCUUUUUGGUUCCCCAGAAUAAAAGAACGGAAAUUUUUGUUCUGAGGAACAGAUACACUUUUUAACAAACGCGCCCUAAUGUGAUAAAAAUUGUUUUAUCCCACAAAAUUGAGCUGUGGACAGAUGUUUAUUUAUUUGUAUAUGUUAAGCAUACUUAUUGUCAUUUUCUAAAAUUCAUUACAUGUUAUAAAUGAGUUUUUGAUUGCCCAUAAUUUCUUGCUCAAAAUGCUUCAGUUGGCCUCACCAGAUUUGGUGAAGGGGGCCUCGCCUUAGCAAGGCGUGACUAGCGCUUGCCCUCGCCUAGGCGUGGCUUGACAAGGCUGACCCUCACCAGCCAUGGUUGUGGCUGGUGAUUGGCAAUGGCCACCGGAGAAAAGAAAAGGGAAAGGAAAAAAAGAAAAAAGAAAUCAAUAAAUUCAAGAAUAUUAUUAAAAUAUUAUUAAAAAUGUCAAUCUCAGCGCCAAUCGCCCGAUUGACGUUCAUGUCAACAAUUUGUAGUCUAAAUUGACCUAAUAAAUUGAAUUGGUACUAAUAUGAAAAAAGGUUUAAGGUUAAAUUGGUCAAAUCGAAAAGUUUAUGACUGAAUUAGUACCAAUGCAAUAUAUUUAAAACUUUUUUUAGUACUUUUUCCCUCGAUAGUGGUAUCAAAGCUAGGCGGUCAAGGAUUGACUAGACUUCGCUCGAGUCCUUGUCCAUCUGCCAGGCAAGGUGAGCAAUGACGUGAUCGAGAAUAUUUUGAUGGGUGGCUGUAUUCUCGAGCACUUAUACUUAAUUGAGAAACUUGAAGAAACUCGAAACUAACUUUACCUGAGCAUCUUUAGAAGCAAGAUGAUAUCUUUCAAAAAGAGGGUUGUUACUGCCAACAUUGAACCUUUCAAAUUGAGCAAAUUGAGCAAACUUCAUGAAACCGAGUGGAAACCAAGUCGAUUGCCCGUUAGGUCGUGAAAUAAUGCCGACCAGGAGCUGAACUUGAGAAGCCAUUGGUUUGUUGAACUAAAGCUGAAGCUGAAGCACGCGUUGCAGUCGUUCAUAAACCUCCAUAGCCAAAAAGGUCCACGUGCAAUUGAAAAACACAGCGCUGGGCCGAGAACAAUUUGCAAUGAGUGUACAGAAGUGUCGAUGGAAAAUGUGAGCUAAAAGAGAGCUUGUGAAGGAUAGAGCUUGAAAAACCCAGAGGAAGGCUCGAGGCUAGUAGGAAAGAAUAGAGCUAAAGAGCAAGUCAAAGAAUGGAAGAUCAAGAGAGUAAGAAAGUCCACUAGAGUCUGAAAUCAUGCAGAGAAAAUUGCAGAAGAGGAGCAGGCGAGAGAGAAAAAUAAGAGAUAAAGACAUGAUUACAAAAGUGAAGGCGGACUCAUUUGAUUGAUGGGCAGGCUGAGCCGGGCCGGCUCAUGCCAUAUGUCAGAUGGAACUUGUUGUCUAGGCUCAUUUUAUUAUGAAGAAAAGUAUGCGAUUUCAAAAUGAAUUGAGUUACCAAAGUGUUGGGUUAACUUGUAACCAGUGGCCACCUUUCUUAUGCAUCCGUUUUCAAAUUGAUCAAAAUCAUAAUGAAUUGAGAACCAUAUAAGCAAAUUUCAUUAAAUUUAAAUUAAUGGAAAGACGAUAUUGAACAUAGGGUUUAGAUUAAACAUUAAGUAAAUCAAAAGUUUAUGGAUGACAUUGCACCUUUGACUAAUGGACUAUUUAUGUCUUUUUUUCCUUUUGUUAGAGCUAAUUCUUUAUUACAAAACUAAAGCAACAUCAAUUGAGCUUUAAUAUACCACUAGAAGCACGAUCUCAAAUGCGCAUCAAUUGGGCUCCGGAGACCUUCUUCACACUAGAAACAUUUUCUACUCCUAUUCCAACAACUUUGUUGGGGUAGUUAGGUAACAAUUCACUAAUAACUAAUCCAAUCCACAAUCAAUUCUUCCCCAAAAUUAAACUAACCAAAAUGGACUUAACGCCAACAACAACUAGCUGUGUAUUCCAGCGCUAUGAUCUCGAAAUAAAUAAAUAUAAUGCUGAAAUGUUUUUUUUAAAAAAAAAACAAGGCAACAAUAAUACUAAAAUUUUUAUGUGGAAAAUCCAAUGGGGGAAAAUCACAAACCGCUCAAGAACUUUCACUAAUCACUAAGAAUAGUAACAUCGGCAAUACAACAAUAUUUCAUCAUUAUUGAGGUGGAUUAAUACAAAUAGAGCAAGAAACUUUAACCAUGAUCGUAGAAAAUGAGAGACAACUUGGAGAAGGUUUUUGACGAACGAAAUUGAUCAACUCAUAGGCCUCAGUCUCACGAACAACAUUCUAAAAUUGAGCCAAUUCCAAUUUUGUCAGGCCUCCGGAUAUGGACCCAAAAAUCGCUGCCCCUUUUUCUUCUUCUCGUGGAACUCUCUCUCUUCCUUAUAUUCACUUCACAAUCGCCCCCCACCCCCCCCCCUCCCCCCCCCCUUUUUUUUUUUUUGUCUUUUUGACAUUUUGACUUUUUUCAUUUUCUUUGAUGUUAUGUUUGCUAAACCCCACAAAGAGACGGCCCCAGCCAACAAUCCUCCAUCACUCUAGUAGCAAAAUCAAUAGGAAUAAGAUCUUGGUCUCACAAAACUUUGAUUCGGAGACCAUCGACUUGACAGCAGCUUCCCAUAGUAAGAAUUUCUAAUUUCUUUAUCAACCACACAAACUUUAGCAGGCAAGCAUCGAAUUGCUUCUACUUUAGCAUGAAGAUCCACACUUGAAUCACAAACAACUCUCUUUAAACUCCAAUAGACCUCCAUAUAGUGUCAACUACGAUACACUUAAAAUACAACCGUCCGAUUCAUCGGCCAUUAUAUCAAACGAGUUGGCUAGACUUUCAGUAUUUAAGAAACCUCUCAAGUUAGCGGACAGUUUUAGCUCCACAAAGCUUUUGUUAAAUAUAAUCAGCGCAAUGUGGGAUGAAAAUAUGCAAGUGUCCUUUCUCAUUCCAAGAAUGUAUUGUCAAGAGUUUGGAGAAGUUCAAGAAACAAAGAGCAACCGGUCCUUUAAAGAUCUCAAAAAUCUUCCAUAAACUCGUAUUAAAGCUGCUCGACUAUGAAAUAAGAUUCCAAGUUGGAAACUUAACUACAAACAAAAAUCUAGAAAUAAUUUGGAAGAUAUGAAGAAUAAAACAUUGACCGUUAAGAAUCAAGAUCAAGAAGUCGUAUCAAAGCAAUUUCAGAGUCAUCUUAUAGAGCCAUACAAAGAAAUGAUUAGCAUGAAAAAGUAGUUUUACUUUGCACAUGUGGAUCUCUUGAUAAUAUAUGUAGUUUCAUAUGAAAGGUAUAUAUCCAACGGAAGGACAAUGAAUUGGGAAUAUAUCUGGUGGUGCCAAAAUAGACGUAGGAGGGAAUAGUGGCAAUAAAUUCUAACAAAAUAUAUUUUUCGAAAUGGAAGAGAAAUGCAUUUGGGCAGCUUCCUUGAAAAUAUGAUGAUUGAAUUAAUUCCUAAUCAGGAACAUGAGAUCAGUAUUUCUAUGCACAAGGAUAGUAAGCUAAGCAGAGAGCCAAGUCUGAUAAGAUCACCCAGCUAAAGCUUCCAUGUACAUUAUCAAGUGAUCAAACUUGAGAUCAAAUACAGAAAACUAGAUUAUUAGAUAGAGGGUAGGUGAAAAACCAUUGUUGAGGACAACCUCCAGAAGAAAACCCCUAACCUUGAAUGCUUUCCUUUUCUUUCUCUCCAUCUUCUCUCAUUAUAGUCUCAAGGUUCUAGUCACUCAGGCAAAGAAAUGAAAAAUAUCGGUAAAACUUCAUGGUAAUGGGCUUGAAAUAUUUAUAGACAAACCCCAUUUAUAGAAGUUCUGAAUCAGCCAAAUGAGAAAUGGUUAUUUUAGCUCAAAUACUUGCAAUUGUCACAGAAACCAAUUUUGAGUCCUGUUAAUCAUACUCAAAAUCCUAUUAUGCAUACAAAGAGAUCCAAAUUUCACAUUUGGUACACAUAUCAGCAAUGACGACCAAACUUGAAGAAGGGGGAGGUUAGGGGGGAGCAAUCACUUCAAACAACAAAUGACAACAAUGAUUUAUCCCCUAGUUCAUAUUUUUCCCAUUGAGGCAGCAUGUUUAAGAACAUUUACGAAUGUAAAAAGUAGAUAUAGCAUUAAUGCGAAGAAUUUACAAUGAAAGAGCAAUAAACAAGACAUUCAAGUAAGAACUUCUAUACACGAACAAUAUUCUAUUACAUUUCGGCUUUCUAAUUCUUUUGCUAAUGCCAGCAUUCCAUCUGUUCACAUUCCUUUGCAAGUGUCCUUCCCAAAUACUCAGUGCCCCCAAAUCUUCCAAACUGCAGUAAUUCUCUGACUCUUUGCAUUGUUUCUUUGAGACAAUAAUGAGGAUAAGACAUCUUAUUGACCUAACAAGAUAUAUUGAGGUAGAAACUAUUAAAGUUGUUGGACAGCGCAAUCGGAUUCUUAGUUUGAAACUUAAUUGCAAACAAAUCAUUAAAAAAACAUGUAAGACAUUAAGAAUGAAUUAAGAAUCAAGAUCAAGAAGUCAUAUCAACUUUUAAGUUGAAAGAUGCGUACUCCACUCACUUGGGCAUCUUCCUCCCAAUUGAGACAAUGCAGCUACCACAUGGGAGUUCAAGCCUCAUAACAGUUUUUCAUUCUGCUCAAUAUUUAUACCAUGUUAGAAACUAUUAUGCCAUAGCAUGUAUAACUGCUACAAGCACUAGCAUAUAAAAAGCAGCACACCACGUAUCCAUGUUAAGUAAAGAAAACUAGAUUGGUAAGAUAACAUUCAUUAUGUAUUAUGUAAAAUCAAACUCUCUUCCAAGCAAAACAUAGUCCGUGAAAUGGAUGACGAUUAAUAAAUUUGUAGAAGUCUCAAAGAAAGAAAUACAGCCGCAUCAACCAAAUUCGCAGCCAUCGUACUCAUGACCAAACAACAAUAGCUUAAUGACAUAACUGACCCUUUCACCCACAAGCAUAAUUAAAGCACUAACAAAUUCCAUCAUCUAGGAAUCACCUAAACCACAACCGUUUUAAUUUGACUAAACUGAACAUAUUUUUGAUACAAUAUUUAAAAUAAACUAUUAAUUUGAUGAAAAUGAGCAUGUCAUGACUGUUUUUUUUUUUUUUACCCCAUCUGCUUGGAGUGUAGAUCCACACAAUAAGCUUGACCUUUGUAAAUGCUACGCUAAAAUUUCUAAUUGACAUUUGAAGCAUUUUCAAUCAUUAAUGAUAAUAUCAACAGAAGGUGACAAUUUCCUAGAGAGAGAGAGAGAGAGAGAGAGAGAGAGAGAGAGAGAGAGAGAGAGAGAGAGAGAGAGAGAGAGAGAGAGAGAGAGAGAGAGAGAGAGAGAGUAAUUUCUUCACAAUAAAAUUAAUAGAAGAAGAGGGAAGAUAGAGAAUGCACAGUAACCAGGAAAUGUAAUCAAAAUAUGUGAAUUGAGGUAAAGUGUCGUGACAAUACAAGAUAACUGAGAGGGAAGUCAGUCGCUUGAUAUGGGAUUUCUUUGGGCUGGUAGGUCAUCAAAAGUGAUGGAAAUCUAUACUUAUUUGGUGGCCUCCAAUCCUCUAUCUCAAUCCAAAAAUAGAUCUUAUUGUCCACUUUGGAACCCCAAGGUGGAGUGUAUCCAUAUAAGCUUACUUCAGGUGAGGAUCACAAGUGUACUAGUAUCUACAACUUAGAAUCUCAACAUAAACCAUUCAAGGGUUGGCUCAAGUGCUAUAGUGCACUCAACAUGUUCUCCAAAUCCAGAAGACAAUAUGAGGCGUGGAGCAUUCAUAUGUUUCUAGAAAAAAAAUGCCUCUUUUCUAGACUUUUCCAUUAAGAAUAGAUAGCACGAAUUGCCAAGGCUAGCCAUCUAAUCCUAAGCUCUUACAAAUUCGAAUUACCAAUGGAUAAAGUCACGUAAGAACUUAAGAUACAACAACCUCUACAAUCUUAGUCUAUGCGCUUUUGAAUUUGACAUAGCUAGUAUAUCAAGCAUAAAUGACAUCCCUUCCAGUUCAAUUUCUUUAUUUUCAUGGACACUUUAACUGGUGGGCCCAUAAGGAUGAUAGCAUGCACACACCCUUUACCAUUCCAAAGAUGCAUUGACAGUGUUUGGAGAAGUUCAAGAAACAUUGAGCUCCUCAUCCUUUGAUGAUUUUGUUUCCUUUUAGAAGUGCCUUGCAAAAGCUCUCUCGGACAUUUCAGCACUUACAUCAACCAAUGGCAUGAUAACUAAAACGUGCCAAUGAGUUAGAUGAAAUCAAUCCACCAACUAACAUCAAUGAACUACUAAUAAUGCUAAGACGUUUGCGGGUCUCUAUUUGUCAAACUCGAUAUUCUUUUUGAACUCUUUGGCUUUAACUAAUAGGGUAGCUAACAUCAUCAACCACAAAAGCUUUGAUCAAAUUAGCAUAGUGCAUCCAGCUCAAGAUGCUUGCUUUUGGGGGACAUAGGAUGAUUAUUUUUCUUAUCAUUAUGUACUACUCAUGCAUUAGAAUUAAUGCAAGACAGAUUUCAAAUGGCAUAUAGGAUACUAAAAGUUUCCUCAGGAAACUUAUGCAAAUGCUUCCCAUGUUUUAUUUUUCAGCAAGUAAAUGAACUAAGAAGAGCUUAUGCACUAUAUAAGGAAUUAUUUCACAGUACAUCCAAUUAUGUCAAAAGACAUUCGAGUAAUGUCUUGCUUGGCCCAAAAGUUCAGGUAUCUGACAGAUGGCUUUAGCAACAGUACAAACAUCAAGGUGCAUUCUUUGGGAUAAUCUAUAAUUAGCCUUGGAGUAGGUAUAUCUCGGAUUCAAACGAAAUGAACAUGGAUCCCUGGUCCAAAAAAUUCGAAUCGCAAUUUUCUCAAUAGAACCAAAUAAUUCAUGAUGCUUUUGCUUCUGUCGUAUUUACUAGUUUGCUCACGACCACACCAUUAGGAGAAGAGCUUGUUAUUGGAUUUAGCAUUUCUAGAUUGACACAAGCACUUUAAUCAGCUAAUGUAGAUAAAUUUAUGAGAUAAAUUGUGUUGAACUCAAUGGCUAAACCUUUACCAAAAAAAAAAAACUCAAUGGCUGAACAAGUCUUAUCCCAAGUCAGUAGACUAUGCAUAGUAAGGGAUGCCCUAUCAACAUGCUCCUUUUGCAUUGUAAAUUCACCCUUAAGUGUACCUUUGAAACAUGCAGUCAUGAAUUGCCUAGUGAGCGGAGAGCAAACUAAAACCUCAUAUUAGAAGGAUCGUCAUAUAGGGUCCUUCAUUUAGCAUUUUCUUCGACCUAUACAAUGCCUUUGUCAUGUUAUCAAAAUACUUGUACACAUCUAUUUUUAUUCAGUAAUUCCAGCAUUCUAAAAUCAAUCAAACAUUGAGAAUCUUUAAUUUCCUACAUAGGAUGAAGGAUCUUACCCAAAGACUAAUGACAAAUGAUGCACUUAGAAAGCCUCUUCAUCUAUUCCCCUUUCUAGCAUGAUCAGAUGAAUCAUUUUGCCAAAGCACACAUCAACGUUCAUGGACAUCUCCACCAAAUUCCUUGAAUUCAAGUAAGAAAACAACGAGGAAUUGUCAUCCGGGAAAUAAUAAUGGCGAGAUCAUAAAUCUUGAAAGAUAUUGCGAGCAAGAAAUACAAAUGAAAUUGGGCAGUAGAUCUCAAAAGAAUAAAGGUAAUUUACCUGUUCUAUAUACCUUUGAUAGUAAAUGGGGAUCAUUUCCAUCCUAUUGACUCAUCCGAGUUAUCCGUAUACUCUAAUACAAUUUGUAUCGUUUUUCUAUCUUCAAUCUCAUAUUAUUGAUAAAUCCGAGUUCUAGAUAAUUUUGGAAUUGUUUUGAGUGACUUGCAUCUAAUGAUAUUCAGAUAUUCGAAAAACUCCAACCUAUUGAGGCCUUGAAUUUCGACCAAUUUUUUGCAUUCAUUGGCCUUCAAUAUCUUCAGACUCUUGGAUUUUGGAAGGAGAGCCUUUCAAUUGAAUUGCACCUAGAGAUAUCUAGUCUUUCCAAGAACUCCAACCUAUCGAGGCCUUGAAUUUUGGCUAAUUUCUUGCACGAAUUAACAAAUAAUAUCAUUAGACUUCCGGAAUUGGGAAGGUAUAGCCUUUCCAUUGAAGUGCACUCUUUGAUAUAUAGCCAUUACAAAUACUCUAACCUAUCAAGACCUUGAAUUUCGGCUAAUUUCUUGCACGAAUUAGCAUCUAAUAUGUGGAUAGAAUAGCUUUGUUUACUAAUUUUUCAUUAGAUGGUACCUCUCUACUCUAGUUCUUUCAACAUGUUUCUUCAAAAGGUUCUCUGAUUUUUCACAUGUAAGGAACGCAAGGUAUAUCAUUCAAAGAGCGGGCUCGGAUUAUGUGCUUGUUUUGCAUUAGCAUUACAACCACGUUGAUUGAGUGCUAUGUAUUGAGUCUUGCCUAUUUGCUGCCUUCCACAAGCAAUACAACUGCUUUUUGGAACGCAUACACUGUUAAAUUAUGAUACUAAGUUCCCUCAAUAUCCUCCAUUCGUUCAGAUUGUUAGUUUAAUAAUGAUGUUGAGUUACAAACAUAGUUUUAUAAUUACUAAAACAGUAGUAGAAGCAAAUUUUAUAAGACUACACAACAGGGGUUUAGCCAAAGGUGUUAUGAGUGAUAGACACAAAUCGCCUUCUAUUACUUUCCUAGGCAAAAGAACGCUUCAAGUGCCAUAACUUUGCACAAAGGGACACUUAAGUGCCAUAACUUACAAAAGAUACACUUAAGUGCCACAUUUUAAGAAAAGUGGGACACCUGAGUGCCAUCUCCACCUAAGCUGGACGGAAAUCAUACAUGGCAUUAAAAUAUUAAUAUUUCCCGCCGAUGUGUCUCGUCGGAGAGCUGAGUCAGCUCGACUUCACCCCAAACGACGUCGUUUUAGCUGUUGGCCCAAAAUAGAGCCCUUAAAUCAGCGAAAAUGCCGUCGUCUCCCCAUUUGCCCUAAAUCUAAAACCCUAAAUCGGGUAAAAUGCCAUUGAAGCGCUGGAGCCCUAAUCUCGCACCCUAAUUCAAUUUGCCCCAAAUUCUACCACCGAAUAUUGGAAAUGGAGAGCAGGACUUUCAGCGGUAACUCAAAUUUCUCUCGCCAAAGCAAAGGAGAAGGCGAGCGUUUCUGUUUUUGUGGGUUACCAAGUCCAAGAAGAACAUCAUGAACUCGAACGAAUCCCGGGAGAAGAUUCUAUGGAUGUGCUCGAUACAGAGAAUGCUCGAAAUGCAAAUAUUUCAAAUGGUUCAAUGUGAAAUUCUCUCACCGAGCCAUAGAGGUGAUAUUGGACCUACUUGAUGGAUGUUAUCAACCUCCAUCUAUACUUGUGGGCGACUUGGACAAUGUUGACUCAAUGCAAGCUCAAGUUCAAGCUCAAGCUCAAGCUCAAGCAUCUUCUAUUAACCAUUUGAAGAACAGAGUUUCAAAAAUGAAAAAUUGAACGAAAGUGUUACCAAGCAUUUAUUGUGUUGCUGUUUUUUUGUCUAUCCUACUUUAUGAUGAAAUGUAAAGUACUAGAAGAUGAGAAGAAGUUUCUUUGACUGUCAUAGUUGUAAAUAUGUGGAGAAAUGUACUUGUUUUGAAUGAAUGAAUGAAUGAUUUCGACAAAUACUGUUUGUACAAUGUUUUUGCUUAUUCUCAAAUAUAAAUCGGUGAUGAUGGAAUGUAUAUUAGGUCGAUGUGUUGUGGUGACUAUUUUACUUAGAUUGAAUGUAAACCAGCAGCGAAUGUGUAAACCAGUAGCAAAUAUAUAAACCAACAACUUCUCUAUUUUGCUACAAACCACCAUAUACAUGGAACAGACACGAGUGAUUAUUCGAGUGCUAUAAGUUGUAUCUAGUGAUCACUUAAGUGCCAGUCGUGAUAAAAAAAAGAGUCAUUCAAGUGUCAAGUUAUUAUUAAAAGGAUCAUUUAAGUGCCAUUUGUUGUUAAAAGUGAACACUUAAGUGCUAGGUUUUUUAGAAUGUGAUCAUUUAAGUGCCAUUUUUUUGUACACAUCAGCUACUACCAGCCACCACCACCGCCCACCACUGGCAUUAGCCUCCAACCAUCAUCACCACCAUCCACACCAAGCAUAUCAGGCAUCCACUUGAGCCACCACCAGCCACCACUAUGGUGGUGGUAUGUUGCUGCAUAAGUUGCUAGUGUAAGGUGUCUUACACCAGCUUGCACCAGUACUACCUGGUGCAAGCUGUGCAUAUUGCACACUUACAUCUUGCACCAGGUGUAGCAAAAACUUCCAACCCAACCCACCACCAUCAGGCUUCACGAGCCGCCACCACCAGCCACACGAGCACCCCAGUCACCACCACAUAUCCACCACCAGAAGCAGUAAUAAGUAAAAGUAAAAACAAAAUCAAAAAAAUGAAAAAGGCAAGCCAAAAAUGUCAAGCAACAACCAUUCCAUUGAUUUUGAAAUGAAGUCUCACAAACUCAAUAACAAAUGAAAUCUCACAAACUCAACUAACUCAAUAACAAACUAUUAUAAAAAAGAAAAAAACAAAUAUUUAUAGAUGUUUACAACUGACUCCUCAGCCCCACAAACCAUAUCACAUUCCAUUUCAUCAAUCAAUAUGCACAAUGCCUCCUAUUCGUGCUCGUUUUGAUGGACCUCGCACUUGAUUCAUAAUCCUUGCACUUUUUCUAACUGGACGUGAGACUUCUUCUUCAACUGUCUUGGGAUACGUUGAUUCUGAUAGAGUUGCAAUUGUCCUAGGCUGAACUGAUUCAGAAGGAGCUGCAACUAUAUAGGCUAAACUGAUUCAGAUGAACCUGCAACUGGGUUCUUCUUACUCUUCUUUCUUGUUGGCGCAUGCAUUGUCUUCUUCUUUGUUGGUGCAACCAUUGAUUUUUGAGUUGGGCCUUGAGAGAUAAGAACCUCUUAACUUCUCCCAAGCUUCAAAAGAAAACUUAAUUAUCAACAAAAGUUUGCACUAUAAAUUUAAUUAAAUAUAGCCUAUAAAACUUACAUUAAGAAUAACUGUUCCAGAGUACUCAUCUGUAUAAAGGCCAUAACCAUAUUGUUUUAGCCUCUUCCCAAGAGCCCUUCUUGUUCAAAGGGGAGCGUCACUUUCAGGUACUUGUGAUUUAUUGCCGCUUCUUCUCGCAUGUGAUUUAUUGGGCUCUUGUCGUUAUUCAACUACAGCAGGGGCUUCUUCGGCCAAUUUUUCAGCUAGGCGUCUUGUAGAUGGCCUUCUUGUAGGUGGCUCUUGAUUUGGCUUUCUUCUAGUUGCUUUUCUAGUUAGGCCUUCAGCUUUAGUGACACCUUCGGUUGGCUUUGGCGGUAGCCCUUUUGUUGACCCUUCUAGUGGCCUUUGUGAUGACCUUGGUGUGGAUUUUAUGGUGGCCCUUCAGCUGGGCCCUCUAUUGGCAGCUGAGCUCUAGCUUGCCUUCUUCGAACCUGAUAAAAAUGCAAAGGACAUCAUAAAUAUAAUAUCAUGCCAUAUUAGAACGUAAAUGAAAAGUAAACUCAAAUCAUUGAACUUACUAGGUAUUUUUUUCUCUGUUGCUACUGAAGAACAGUUGACUUAACUGGCCCUCUUUCUUCAGCCAAUCCUACAGCUGGCUGUCUUCUACCUUCCCUUCUUUGAAUAGGCCCUUCAGUUUCAGGUAUAGCAAGGGCUUCGGCCAAUUCUUCAUGUGUCACGGUGACCUAACAAAGACAAAAACAUUACAUACAUGUUACGAAUAUAUAUACAUAAACAACAACUAUCAUGACUUACUGGGUUUAUUAUCGUUGACUCACUUCGCCUUUCUGUUUCUCCUUCUCCAACUGUCCCUUCAUUAGGCUCUUCGGUUGGCCUCAAUUGUUCCCGCUGCUUCUUUAAUUGACAACUCUUAAUAUUGUGCCCUACCAUGUGGCAAAAAGAGCACUUUAUCAGUACACCUGUCCUAUUCAUCCUACGGUGACAUGAGUCCUCUCCUUCCGUUAUUUUUUGUUUUCGCUUUGGUCUUCCCAUUCUCUUCUUCAGUGGCAAAGAUUGAGGUGCUUCGUGAUAUGUUUGCUCCCAGAACUUGCUACUUCUAAUUGGCUGCAACAUGAAUUGAUACGAAGCAAGAUAUUUUGGUUUUUUGUACCAAUCAUCAAGGUGGUCUUCUGUGUUGUGGCCCUUCAAUUAAAUUGCACAUAUGGCAUGUGCAUAAGGAAUUCUACUUAGUUGCCACGCUCUAUAUGAACACUUCAUCGUACCUAAAUGGACAACAUACUUAUCGGAACCCUUCAUUAUCUCAUAUCAUUCAUCCCCAUUCCAAAUGGGAUGACAAUAUCUACUUGCAACCAAUUUGUCAUCCAAUUUCUUAGCAAUCCUAGGGCCAUAUUGCUUAGUCCACUUUGCAGUCUCAUCUCUUUGUUUGUGCCGCCGAAUCAUGACCAAAACCCGUAUGUCUUCAAGCAUCGAGAUAAUUGGUUUGUAUCUGGCAUCUAUUAUCCUCCCAUUGAAUGCUUCGCAGAUGCUGUUAUCAAUGUUAUCGCACUUGAAUUCCUCACUAAAGAACGCCCUACACCAAUGCUUCGGGUCUGUUUGGGACAGUGCAUCAUAACCAUCCUUUGUCAAUUGAAGCAUCCCUUCUUUGGUCAUCCUAAAGUCAGCCAUAUUCGUGCUAUUUGCUAGCUGCCAAAAUUGCGACUGCAACUUGUCCCCUUUAUAGGUCUUUGCCCAAUUUGCAUAUAUGUGCCGCGCACAUAUUCGAUGUUCAACAUAAGGCAAUAACUCAGCUAUUGCUGGAACCAGUCCCUGCAAUAAUUCAAAAUAUAACAAAUGUAAGCAAAUGACAUGUUGAUAUCAAAAAGCAAACAACUAACCAAUUUUUUUAAAAAGCAAACAUUACCUUUUGUUGGUCACUCAUGAACGCCCAUCUUGCCCCAUUUGUUAUCUCCAAAUCAGUCAUCAAAUUUUUGAGGAACCAGGAUCAAUUGUCCUUGUUCUCUACCUUCACAAUAGCCCAAGCCAGGGGAAACAUUUAGUUGUUUGCAUCUCUUCCAAUUACGGCCAGCAAUUCUCCCUUGCACAAGCCCUUCAAAAAAUACCCGUCCAAUCCUAUAAUCCGUCUACAAUUAGAUAAAAAUCCUCAUUUGCAUGCAUCGAAGCAAACAUAGAAUUUAUUGAACUUCAUCCCAAUAUCAGGAAGUGGUCUCUCCACGACCUCUAUAUACACUCUACUUCCAGGAUUUUGCAACCUACACUCCCAAGCAUAGUCCCACAACUGUCCAUAUUCACCACUGUACUGACCAAUGAGUAUUUUCAUCACAUUUUGCUUUGAUCUUUUACAUUGAUUCUUGGAUAUUAGGGGUGAUCGGGUUCAAGGUGGGUAGGGUCUAGACCUGGACCCUGUACCCGACCAUGUUAUAACCGAUUCUCUUUUUUUAGACCCUGUACCCGACCCUGUUUGCAUUGGACCCUAUUCCCGACCCACCCUGUUUUUCCGGUCCGGGAACAGGGUUAACCCUGUUUAUAUUGGAACCUAUUUUGCAUAAAAAUUGCCAUACAUCACUUAUAUGUAAGAUAAAGCAUUUACAAUCUAGAUCAGCAUAAGCACAUCCAUUAUUGUAGCAAACAAUUAUACCAUAUGAAACAAAAACUUAUAUACACUGGAUUUCUGAUAUAGUUCAUGAAACUGUAAUACUAUGCUGCCACAUUUUAAUCCCCACGCGAGCCACUGGAACUAGCAGAAAAUUUCUUACCACUGUAUUUCUGCAAAAUAAAUAAGAUCGUAGCCAUUACUUGAAAGGCAAUUAUACUAGUAGUAAAAGUUGCAGAAACCAGAACAAACUAGUGGGCAAAUUGAUUUGCAUAGCAAUAUGAAGGAUUGGUAUUUAAACAAAUGGACCAUAUCAAAGCAUCCAAAUGAGUUUUUACCACAAACCUCUGUAAACCAUUUGUAAACUAUCUCUAUUGCAUAGUUCAUAAGAAUAAUACAUAUACCGGCACCACAAAGAGAUCUCACUUGCUUCCCAAUGCUGAAUGGUUUAUACUUGUACUUGAUCAUGUGUGCAAUUUGACGUCUCAUUGUCAUGAUGAAAAGCAAGAGCUAGUAAAAGAGCAAGAUGGACAAGAAUGUUACCUUCUUGUGCUAGAGGCCAGACAAUGAAUCAAUAGGACUAGCGAUGACGCGAUGGGGAGCUGGAUCUGGCGACGGAGCUCGGGAGGGGAGCUUGGAGUAAGGCUGGCGAGCAGCCAGGAACCGGGUUGACAGAUGCGGACUUCAAUCAACUUCUUCUACUUAGCCUAAAUGUCAUUUUUGUGACAUCUUGAAAUUCGACCCCGUUUCGAUAAAGUGAAAUGGGCAUUUCGUUGACGUGCCUAUGGCCCUUUUUCUCUGAGCUGAUCACUCACGAGUUAACUAACCUAUUGGGUGAAGCCGUUAAGGGAUGUAUCAGCUGUAAAAUCCCUAAAAGCUACCUAAUUGGUUGGAUUGAGCUAAAAUCACGUCUAAUCGAUUUUUAACCACGAAAUUGAACUCGAUUCGGAAUCGGNNNNNNNNNNNNNNNNNNNNNNNNNNNNNNNNNNNNNNNNNNNNNNNNNNNNNNNNNNNNNNNNNNNNNNNNNNNNNNNNNNNNNNNNNNNNNNNNNNNNAGUGCGCCCCUAUUCAGCACUCCCCCGCGUUCCCCUCGCCCUUCGCCGGCCUCCCCUCGCCGCCCUAGCCGCCGGAGCAGCCUCGGCCAGCCCCGUCCAGUAGACCCACGAAGUGAGUAUCCAGCACUUUCGGGCUCGUUUUGGGCCGUUUCCGAGCCCCGAACCCGAGCCGUGCUUUGGGAAGUUUUGUUCCUCGCGUCGCCGCUGUCGGAUUGAUCCGAUUUGCGCGCGAUUUGGUGAGUAAUCUCACUAAUCCAGGAUUAGUUGGCUAAUUGUGUUUAAGGUUGGUUUAGAUUUAAUUAAUUAUGUUUAGGUUGUUAGAUUAGAAUAAAUUAGCAAUUAUUAGCCAAUUGUGAUGCGAAUUAGAUAAAUUGAAUGUGUAAUUAGCAAGUAGACAUGGUCUAUUAUUGGAAGUGCCUCGGGAUUUUUCCCGACCCUUAGUGGGCUCCAAUUAGGCUUUUCGGGCCUAAAUGGAAUUUUUUAGUAUUUAAAUAUUAAUUUUCGGAAUUAAAUUAAAUAAUUAUUUAUUUUUCGAAAAUUCAACUGAGAUGGCCUGGAACCGGAAAAUUAUGCUGAUGACCGUGGUGAAGUAUGUUUAUUUAAUCGGGCUUUAUUUUGAGCUAAAUUGAAUUUUUAAUAUUAAUUAUUUAAUUUUCGAAAUUAAUAAAUUAUUUAUUUAUUUUUCGGAAAUUAAGAUUUUGAUGGCCGACGACCGAAAUCUCGUGCUGAUCAUCGUGGCACAGUCCAUUUAUUUAUUUGAGGUCCACGUUGCAUGGAAUUGAAUAAAUUGUGAUAUUUUAGGGAUUUACCCUAAAUUGAUUGGAAUUGAUUGAGAUUGAAUUGUUGAUUGGUAAAUGGCCAAGUAUGUUAUUCAGUAUUUAUAAUGCUUUGUUGAGUUGAUUUAAUUAUUUGAUUGAGAAAUCGUUGGCAUUGGUUGUCGGUAUUGAAAGUAAAUUGAUAACCAUUUGAAAGAGGACACGUGGGCUCGGUGAAUUGAAAUGUCACCUAGAGAAUGCACGUGAGUUCAGUGGUUGAAUGUGUCACCUUGGCGAAAAGGUCGCCUGAGAGAAUGCACGUGGCUCGGUGACAGAGUUUGGCAUCUAAAAGCGCACGUGGCUCGGUGAAUUGAUGCAUCACUUUGGUGAGAUAGCACCUAAGAGAAUGCACGUGGGCCCAGGCAUCUAAAAGGACACGUGGCUCAGUGAUCUGAUGCGUCACUUUGGUAAGCGAGUACCUUAGAGAAUGCAUGUGGGUCUAGUAUUUGGAAUGGCAUCUAAAAGGGCACGUGGUCGGUGAUCUGAUGCGUCACUUUGGUAAGCGAGUACCUUAGAGAAUGCGCGUGGGCCCGGGCAUCGUAAAAAGGACACGUGGCUCGGUGGCUUGAUGUACCACCUUGGCGAAGAGGUCGCCUUAGAGAAUGCACGUGGGUCCGAAGUUUGAGGCACGUGGCUCGGAGACUUGGAAGGUCGUCUUGGAGAAUGCACGUGGCCUAGCUUUUAAAUAUCCCAUAGUGGGGAUUGAAUUGUAUGACAUGUAAUCGACUAGUUCGAUUUGUUUGAAGUGAAUGGGUGUUUAUUGUGAAUUAUACUGACUUGCAGAUGAGAUCUGAGGCCAAGGUAAGUCCUUUGCUCUGUGCAUGUUUAGGCAGCCUUUAGUAUAAUAAUUUACUAAUCGGGCUUAGUGGGGUACAAUUCGCUGAGACGUAGUUUCAUCCCAGUUUGGGGAAACCAUUUCAGGACCCCGUUGAAGAGCUGAGGAGGAGGAAUCCGAGAAGGAGAACUCGGAGGCGAAUCUUAAGGAGAAAGAUUUUUGGAAGAAGAAGACAAUCCUGAGAGGGGCCUUGAGUACGGCCCAGUUCGUCUAAGUUUCCGUCUUCUUUUGAGAUCUCCUUUUUGAUGUGAAUAGUUAUGAAGUGAUUUGUGGUUUGUAUAAAAGUUUGGUUAUAAAUUUCAAUAUGAAAAAUAUGGCCCUGCUUUUCUA